rnacentral:lncRNA from 1 species
AUAAGACCCUGAAAUUGAAAAGCAUUUCAAAUGAACUCUGAAAAGGUUAAAAGUUGGCAUGGUAUCAUCAUUUCACCCACAUAGCAUGUGCAAGAAAGUAGAGAGUAUUACGGCAAAAACUGGAUGCACUUCGUGUACAAAACGGACAAUCUCUUUCGAAGUAUCAGGGUUUCAUACGGAAACUCGUCUGUUACAAAAGGAUUUCAUUUUUUUGAACUUAUUUGAACUCCAUAGUUUUUCUAUGUUCAAGAUGCACCAUUCAAAGCCACAUCAUCAAUUUUCAACCCUUUCUGACUUCAUUUGUUAUUUUUCAUGCAUUUACUGACUUUUUUAGCUAUAAGACCCUGAAAUUGAAAAGCACUACAAAUGAACUCUGAAAAGGUUGAAAGUUGGCAUGGUAUCAUCAUUUCACCCACAUAGCAUGUGCAAGAAAGUAGAGAGGCUUACGGCAAAAACUGGAUGCACUUCGUGUACAAAACGGACAAUCUCUUUCGAAGUAUCAGGGUUUCAUACGGAAACUCGUCUGUUACAAAAGGAUUUCAUUUUUUGAACUUAUUUGAACUCCAUAGUUUUUCUAUGUUCAAAAUGCACCAUUCAAAGACACAUCAUCAAUUUUCAACCCUUUCUGACUUCAUUUGUUAUUUUUCAUGCAUUUACUGAAUUUUUUCAGCUAUAAGACCCUGAAAUUGAAAAGCACUAUAAAUGAACUCUGAAAAGGUUGAAAGUUGGCAUGGUAUCAUCAUUUCACCCACAUAGCAUGUGCAAGAAAGUAGAGAGGCUUACGGGAAAAACUGGAUGCACUUCGUGUACAAAACGGACAAUCUCUUUCGAAGUAUCAAGGUUUCAUACGGAAACUCGUCUGUUACAAAGGGAUUUCAUUUUUUGAACUUAUUUGAACUCCAUACUUUUUCUGUGUUCAAAAUGCACCAUUAAAAGCCACAUCAUCAAUUUUCAACCAUUUCUGACUUCAUUUGUUAUUUUUCAUGCAUUUACUGAUUUUUUCAGCUAUAAGACCCUGAAAUUGAAAAGCACUACAAAUGAACAUGGAUAGAUAAGUGACCAAAUUAAUAGUAGUUCAUCAUCACAUUAAAACCAAAGCACAAACAUAGCUCAAAUUGAACAACAUAUAGCUCUCCAGAGCAUCUAGUUAAACCAUACAUUGAAACUAUGUAAAACCUUUCAAUGCAACAACAAAUGUGAUCAUAAUCACAACUAAGGUAACAAUUGAUCCAACGGCAUAAUGAUACCAAGCCUCGGUAUGAAUGGCAUAUUUUCUAAUCUUUCCAAUCUUCAACCGCAUUGCAUCCAUCUUGAUCUUGUGAUCAUCGACGACAUCCGCAACAUGCAACUCCAAUAUCAUCUUCUCCUCCUCAAUUUUUUUAUUUUUUUCCUUCAAGUGAUUGUUUUCUUCUUCAACUAAAUUUAACCUCUCGACAAUAGGGUCGGUUGGAAUUUCCGGUUCAACAACCUCCUACAUAAAUAAAAUCUAUGUCACGUUGGUCGGCAUAAUUGUCAUAAAUAAUAAAUGAACUAAAUAGUUAUAAAAAGAUAAUAUAUACCACAUCCGGAUCAUAGACAGGACGAGGGACGACGGGGGCGGAUACCAGAACCAUGGCACUAUAUAAUAACAAGGAAUAAUAAAAGUAAGAAAAUUAAACAAGUUUCUAUCUCAAGUAAGAAUUUUUUUCUUUCAGAAAGAAGAUAAGAAAAAGAGGCUCACCACGGUGGUGUCGGCGACGAGAUCGGCGCGGGCGAUCGACGGCGGUGAAGACGGGGACGGGACGUGACGGGCCGCUCAACCUAGACAAAUCUUGGUGAAAAUGGAGCUCGGAGGUCGAGUUUCGAGAGAAGAAAUAUUAACUGGUGUGGCUCGGACAUUUCAUCGAACACCUCAUGUGCAUAGGAGGUGAGCUAGAGCACCCAAAUGUUCUCCCUCGCCGGCCAGCAAAAAACAGAGCAGUGUGUAGUGCUCUGCUUGCCGGCGAUGGGCUAUAUAUAGGCCAAUCAUUUGUCCCGAUUCGUGGCUGGAAUCGGGACCAAUGGAUGUGGGCCAGGAGCGCGGCCCAUUGGUCCCAGUUCGUGCCUAGAACCGGGACAAAUGGGUCCAGACGAACCGGGACCAAAGCCCACGAGGCCCCGGCCAGCCACCUGGGCUCACAAACCGGGACGAAUGCACCCAUUGGUCCCGGUUCGUAUAAGAACCGGGACUAAUGGACUGGCCAGCCCUGAACGAAAGCCCCCUUUUCUACUAGUGGAGCACUUAAAACUUAACUUCCCAAAUCUUUUAACACAAAUUCAUUUGCGUUCAUUGAGCUAAAAGCUUCACUACUCAAUAACGUCAUUAAACAGUACUUUGGGCAUAUAGUUCACCAGUUCCUCAUUGGGAGAACUCAUCCAAACAGAAAGACAAAAAAUUUACAUGCUUCAAUGGAAACACAACUUCCUUGACUACCACUUCAAGUCCAAUAAUUACUUUCUUCAUCUCUUUAAGUUCAUUGUCAACACCUUUUCCCUUCUCCGUUGACAUCUCUGGCCUGCGCACUUGUUUCGUCUCUGCCUUCUCAUAAAGAACUUGGACAUUGUGUCCUCGGUGAUCACGGCUCUAACAACCAGUACAUCAUCAUCCAAUUGACCUCCCCUAAUCAAUCAAUAUGUUCUUCUUUGCAAUACCAAAAGUUGCAACGUUUCUGCAUAGUAUUAGGCCAACAACGAGCUCAAAUUACUUGAAAUGAAGAACAUUCACAAAAUAUUGCACUUACUUUGCCCUUUUCACACUUGUAGAAGACCCAUCUAGGCUGGUUCUCCGCUUCAUGGAUACCCGGAGCAGCACCAGCCAUUAGCAGUCGUUGCACUUUAUGAGCGACAAAGGCAGGCUAAUGCACGAAGGCCGAGCCCGGUCGACUGACAGAUGAGGGUCUGCCAGUAGUUAGAGGGGCAGAGAGAUGCGACCGCCGAGAGGAGGAAGACAUCCCACAAGGAGCUCCGGAGGCAGCAGGGUGUUAGAAUUAAUCUGAGGUACACGACUGAUCCACGAGGAAUAAGCUAUCACAACACGACGACGACACUGAGAUUUGUUAACGAGGUUAGGAGAACUCGCCUCCUCUCCAGGGCAAUGAUUAUGGGCGCUCCUCCCAGAGAUAUCGUAACACUGGCCGCCCUGGACGCCGACACAUGCCACCGGCUCCCCUCCAUUCCUGUCACUAUCUAGUGGUUAUGGGUUACAACUUGGGGUGCCUCAUCAUAUAUAAGAGGCCAAGAGCAUCCAACACUACAAGUAACACUACACAUAUCCUACCCACCACAACACCAAGUCAUAACCCGAUUCAUACACAAUAUACACAUACAGAAGAAACUCCAUCUUAGCAGAUAUUCUCCACCACCUUGAAUUCAUCCAUGCAUCAAACUUCCAUGUACUAUGGACUUGGGUUGUCUUCUUCCUAUCUUACGUAGAGCUACUCGACGAGCCUGCCCAGACCCGCCACCUCUGUGGGACCCUGCUGCUACUCUUGCAACUAUAGUCUCCAUGACUCCACCUGCGAUAGUGCUCCCUUGGAACUUGUAAAGAUGUGAAGCCAUCUUCUCUCCCAUCAUCAUGGUCACCUCACCUUCCAUGAUUUUCAUGGUCUUGUUAUCCCGGCCACAACGGAAUACCAUACCACCAUCAUGAAGAACUCCAAACAAAAUUAGAUUCCUCCUUAGGCUGGGCACAUGCCUGACUCCUCGAAGCAUCCGAACAACUUCGUCAAACAUCUUGAUUUUGAUGUCACCUACUCCAGCAACACGAUACCUUGUGUCAUCACCCACAUAGGCCAAACAAAACUGCCAAACUUGUAUGAAGAGAACCACUCCAUGUUGGGUGUCCCAUGGAAAGAGCUAGCUGAAUCCAACAUCGACACUUCUCUUUUGAUUGAUCACAUGUACUCCCUCCGUCCCGAUAUUCUUGUCUUAAAUUUGUCUAGAUAUAGAUUUAUCUAGUCACGUUCUAGUGUUAGAUACAUCCGUAUCUAGACAAACCUAAGACAAGAAUUUUAGGACGGAGGGAGUAUGAUACAACGAGGACAUCACUACUGUUGCCUAAGUCAUCACCAUGAGUUGCCGUAUUAGCACUUGACCCGUCAUUGAGAUUUGGACAGUCCUUUCUCAUAUGUCCCUACUGCUUACACUUGUGACAUUGUACCUUCUUUUUCUUGUUCUUUCCUUCCUCUGCUCCUCAUCCUUGACUAACAAACCUUCACCACGAAAGACUUCCACCGUGUUCUUCUUUCUCAUAUCAUAAGAUAGCAAUGCCGCAAUAAUAUCCGCAUUCUUCAUGGUUUCCUUGCCGUGUGUCAAAGUAGUGAUUAAAUGCUCAUAGGACUAUGGCAACGAACAAAGAAGAAGAAUUGCCCAAUCCUCAUCAGGAAUGGUCGCACCCAAGCAUGUUAGAUCUGUCACGACUUGAUUAUAGGGUUUAACACACUCUACAAGAUCUGACCCCUCCCGCAUCUUCAUCCCAUACAAUUUUUGCUUCAAAUACACCUUGGUCGUCGCAGUUUUAGACAUAAAUUGACCUUUUGGAUUGUCUCAGAUCUUAUCUUCUUCAAUGAAUUCUCGUCCAUCACAUGAUAAAUGACCUAGCCUGAUAGACAUAACCGUAUAGUCCCGGCUGCUUUCAUCUGUAACUCCUGCCAAUCGUAAACCUCGGAGUGAAGGGAGUAAGAAAGAAGACAACCUUCAUUUCAGGAUUGAAUGAUCUGCUGAUCAUCAAAGCGAGGUGAUCUCGUUGCCACCUUGAGAAAUACUCCUAGUAUCAUUUUCCAACGCUGAUGUUGUGUUUACGCUGCUCGUCAUUGUCAUCCAAAGAUUUUCUGCCGGCACAUCGACCAUAAGAUGCCGGAACAGCGGGUUCGCCGGCAAAGCAAUGUACAUCUCUCCCUCCAGCAUCUUCACCACCGCGCCCAUAGGCGGCUUCGCCUUCGAUUGCCGUUGCAUGCACCAGAACACCACCUUGCACAUCCUCCCCGCCAGCCCCCUACACAGCUGCCACUGCAGGUCAUCCACUGCAUCCAUGCCAUGGCAGCUCGGCGUCAUAAGCUCCACUUGUCGGCCACUUUCGUACUUGGUCCAUGCCAGCUUAGGGACCAUUGCUGGCUCUCGGGCGCGGCCUCGUCGAAGUUCCUCCGUCGACCGACGGGCACGAGCAGCAACAUGCCAAAGCUAUAAACGUUGCGCUUCUCCGUCACACCAAAACGCAUCCACGUCUUUGGCACCGCAUUGUCAGGUGUACCGCGCACGCCAGACACCAAGACAUGCAUGUCUGCGUGGUCCACAAAUCGCGUGAGCCUGGAGUCGGCUACCUUGGGCGUGAGGGUUCCACCGAGAAGGACGUUGCCGCCCUUGCUGUCGUAGUGGAUGAUCUUCUGCUGGCACUCCUGGUGGAGGUACCUGAGGACCUGCGAUACGCCGGUGGUGACCGUGGUCAUGCCCAUGUCGGCGUGGUUGAAGAGGUAGGCGUCGAGCGUGUCGUGCUGCAUGAACUCGUACACCAGCGCGCGCAUGGAGGCGAGUCGAAGCAAAACCCGAACUGCCUAACGAGGUUGAUGUGGUGCAUCCUGCGCCUCAUUGCAUGUCCAGCGGUAUUCGGUCUGGGCCGCAAGGCGGACGAGUGUGAAAGGCUUGCACUGAAUUGCACGGUGCUAAAUAGUCUUGCAAGCAACUCAUUGCUCAGAGACCCCUGUAAGCAGAUGAUGGAGUAGCUCUUUUGUUUGCUCGGAAGGGACGAGGCAGAGAGGCACACCAAAGAUCCCUGUAAGCAGAUGCCAGGAGUUAAUCUUCCAUUAUUACACAAAGAAUGGUCCUUCGAAAAAUUAUUACACAAAGAAUGUGUGCCAAAGAUUUGAAGCACACAUGGUACCAAAUUGUCCCUAGAAAAGAAUAAAGAAUACUGGGGUACUAAUUAGCCCAAAAUGACAUGGAAGCAAGAAUGAGAUUAGAAUCUCUUGACAGAUUAUCAUCAAUCUUGUCAGUCAAAACUUCUUUUUCUUCUCCCCUGUUUUUCCGUUCUUUUAAUAAAUCAUACAAGUUCACAAGAAACGCGUCGACCGCAGUUCUCCACCUAUGCUUCUACAUCAUUUUCUUAAAAAAAAUUGUAGGAAAUGUGGUACAGUACUUGCUGAUAGUCAUUAGCUAUUUGUAAACUUGUAGGUAGGUUUUGGGCCACUGCUGAGAUCUUAUCUGAUUCUUCAGCAACAGUCUGUUAUGACCUCAUGGGCAUGAACAACUGUCAGACUAGAUAUCUCCAUCUCAUGGGCCACUCUAGAUAUUUCAUCUCAUCGCGGAGAAAUUGUCAUUGCCCAGUAUCUUCAUUAGGCACAGCGAGCGGCCUGAUAUCAAUUAGAGGACAAAGAAGACCGGGAUGGAGCUGCAAUCCAUAAUGUGAGAGUAUGUCGGUAUAGUGCGGUCAAAGAAGCAGCUGAAGGAUGCAUAAUGGAAGAUUGGUGAUCUAGAUUGGUGAUCUAGAAUCAGAGUGGGAAGAAUUUUUAUUCAGGAGGGGUUGGAAGCCAAGCACGGUGGGGACCGAGGCCUGCGAAAUGAGGAACCUCUUCUGCUGCGCAAAGCUUGUUGUCAAGAGCGCUCUUGCAAGGAAGGAGAGGCACUUCACACAGAGGACAACCCACAUACUAUCCAAGAGCUGACAUGGAGUUCAAAGCCAUUGCAGAGGCAGCAGCAGUGCAAAUAAUUGCCACACCCACACCAUGAUGUCUUCAUUGCUCAAACACAGAUCAGGGUUUUUUAACAGCGAGUGUAAAACAUAUGAGUCAAGUAUGCCAAACUUGAACUGAAAUGAUACAUAUAGGCAUAAGCAUAAUGGCUAAUACAGUAUCAUCAUCACAGCAAGGUGCUGCCAGGAAGAAGAACUCAGCUAAUAAUAUCAUCAUAGUAACCAUUUGGCGCAAAUACUAAAGCUUCAUGAUCAAUGGCCAAUUGUAGUGUUUGGACUUUAGAAAUCAUUUAUAGCAGAGAAGUGAAAUUCUUCUGUUCUCUUACUCCCCGAAAGACAGCAAUAACUCUCAACCGUAACUUAUCAAUAGGUCAUUUUUGGAAUGACACAAACAUGCAAAGCCUACAAAAUGCCCUUUUCAUCCAUGAUAUAUGAAGUAUACAUAAGACAUAGACACAGGGAAUUAUGCAUGCAACACCUAAUCAGCCAGGUCACUAUCCACCCUAAAUACUGCAGUGCCUUGAGGAAAUUCGAACUAGGCAAUAUAUCCAACUACCGAUAAACAGCAACUAACAACCAUAAGGCUUAAUUCACACUUCUCUAAUUCUAGUUCACGCUGGAGCAAUCAGGAUAACAACACAUCUAGAGCAUACCAAGAAGAUGAGAGCAUAACCAUGGUCAGUUAAGUGCUGUGUAAUAACAACAGCCCUCACGCCAACUGAUAUCAUAGCAUCAAGUACCCUGAAUGCUUUCUCCAUCUUGGCGAUAAGCAAUAUCCAUUGAUAAUUUUAGUGAAUGCAGUAGGAUCAGACCUCUCACCAGUAUGGGUAACCAAGUCAAAGAUGUCGUGUUCAUCAAUUACCUUUCCGCAGCUUAUGAUGAAUAUCCCUGUUCUUCAUUUUGGUAAUAAAUUUCUCGGCUUUCAUGGAAUCACCAUGAUUAAAAUAACCCUCAACCAUGCACAUGUAAACUUCGGUGUCAACUGGUACUCCCAUAUCAAUCAUCUCACUGAAUUUUUCCAUCGCAUCAUCCAUCCUGCCCAUCUUGCAAAAUGCAGAUAUCACAGUUAAAUAAGUGAAUUCAUUAGGCUUCACACCCUGCUUCAACAUGUCUUCAAGGAAAAGCAUGGCCACAUCCAUCAUGCCAUACUUAGCAUAUGCAUUAAUCAGUAUGUUGAAACAACGGAGGUCGGGUACAACUCCAUCUCUUGCCAUCAGCUCACAGAGAUCAAUCAUUUUAACAAGGGAUCCUUCUAUAGCGUACCCGUGGAGCAUAAUAGUGUAUGAGACUAUAUCUGGUUUUCGGCCAUUCACGGCCAUGGAGUAAAAUAUUUCCUCGGCAUCUUUGAUUCUUCCAUGCUUGCAAAGGUAGUCCAUGACUGAGCUGCAAAUAACAACGCCUGGCAUACUGCCUUGGCUUCUCAUUGCUUUCAACAGCCUAGCGACUUCUUUCAACUGGCCCAAAGUUGAAUAUCCUUGGAUCAAGCUACUAUAUGUGACAGCAUUUGGUUGGACACCAUUAUGAACCAUUGAUCGAAGAACUACCUCUGCCUUUUCCAUUGCUCUUGCUUUGCAUAGCGCAUCGAUAAAGGAGUUAUACGUCACCACAUCGGGCACAACCCCCUGCUGCAUCAUUUCAUGGAGCAGAUUGCAUGCUUUGCUUAUUUCACCCUCCUUAAAGAAGCCAUCGAUUACCAAGCUGUAUGACACCACGCUGGGAGAGUGGUCAGAUCCUUUUUCGGCCAUCAUCCGGAGCAAGUCAAGCACAAGCUGGCUCCUACCACUGUCGCAGAAACUCUUGAGAAUUACUGAGUAGGAGAUGGCAUUAGGCAGGUCGUCGGGCAUCCUGUGGAGCAGCACGCCCAAAGCCUCCUCCGUGCGCUUCAUGUCACAGAGGCACUUGAGUAAGCUGCUGUAGGUAAUGGCAUUCGUCUUGAUGCCUGUCUUGAGUAGGCGGCCGAAGAAGGCAAGCCCUAGGUCUGGGCGGCAUGCUCGCUGGCAACACUCAAUUAGUAUGCUGUAGGUGUGAAUGGUGGGUGCUGGCACCUGGCGACGGCCUGCUCGGGCCAUGCGGUUGAAGAGAUCAAUGGCGAGGGCAGGGGCAUCGGUGCAGAUGGUGGAGGACGGCGCACGCGCAAGGGCAGCAAAUAAGCCGUUGAGUGCACGUACUGAUACUGGGACUGGUUGGCGCAGCAUUUCGUCGAACAGUUGGUGCACGAGGUCUGGCCUGAGCGUCCUGGAGUGCAGAUGGCCUUGGAGUUUGUCCAGCAGCUCGUUGGCGUGUGAAGAAACAGAGUUGGAGAAAGAGCGGACCUGAAGGCGUGACAUUGUCACCGUCCUGGUGGGUGGUGGGAGGAGGACGGACGGAGGAGACACUAGACUGGGUGGUGUCGCUCGCUUCUUCUUGCAGCGGCGGUGAGUCCGAGCACGCGCCGGUGACGACCAACCACGGGAGCGUCUAGUGGCGGGAGGACGGUGGAGGGAGGUGUGGGAUUGGGGAAUUUUAGAUUCGAUUUGGAGCUUGGCGCGACUGGGAUUCCAUUUGCUGGGUGGGUGCACCAAUCAUUUUACUCCCACAUGGGAUUGGGUGGUGUUCGUACAAGCAUGCAUCAUGUAAUUCUGUUGGAUAUUUUGAAAAAAAAAAUUGGUAUUUAGAUAUUUUAAGAUUCUCAUGAUGUUUAUGCUCUUGCUCUCUUUUUUAUGGGCCGUUUGGUUGUCUCCGGUAAAUAGUGCAGGUACAGAGGACAAAAAUGAGUCAGGCUGACCAGGGCCUGGUUAAGAGAAAAUAAGGCAAAAACGAUGUUGACAAAUAGUUUGGUUGUCUGCAUGUGAUGUCUUGUCACCGUGAAGCAAUUUUCAUUCGGUGUUUGAUUGCAUACACGCAUGGUGCUUAGUAGCUAACAACUACACUUAACAGGCAAGGAAGUGAACCCUGGAGCUGCAGCAGACUUGCUCGCCCACGCACUCGCUGGAGCUAUAGCAGCCAGACUCCUCCGCGCGCUCGCCGAAGCUGCAGCAGUUGCCCGGCUCGCCCGGCCAAGCUGUGCGUCUCUGCGAAGCGGCUGCACGUCGUGCGUGCGUCGGCGAGUCCAACCAUCGCCCCGCCCUGGCCCUCCGCGUGCCCGUGCAGACCGUCGAGAGGGCCGCCAUGAUGGGGAGGGCCCUUCUUGACCCGCGCGAUCUGAAGCGCGCCUCCCUUCCUCAUCGAUCGAGCCCAACAGCUUCGUGGCUCGUGCAAGGUGGAGGCCAGCUGCAUCUGCAGCCCGUUGAGAUGACCACGGACUGGACGACGAAGGCCACCUACUCGAGGCAAGCCGGGCCGCCCCUCCACGCAGUGCAAGGCCAGCAGCUCCGUGGCUGGUACCAUGGCCGGGGCCAUCUUGUAAGCCUGGGUAGCGGCGGCUAUUGCCCACGAUUCACGAGGUACCGAUGUCUAUUGCGUGCGCGGCCGGGCAGGUGGGAGUGGUGCGGCUGCCCCGUGGGCGCGUGGUGCACAAGCGGCGAGUGGGCGCGCGCGGUGGGUCAACGCCGGCGGCUGACGCGUGGUUGGGGCACUGGUGGUUAUUGCACGCGUGUGCGGGAGGAGGUAGUCACAUGCGCGCGCCGAUGGCAAGCGGGGCGGCGCAGCGACAGGGGCUAUUGUGCGCGCGGGCACGCGGGCCGGGCAGCGGUGGCGGCUGUCGUGUGGGCGGGCGGGGGCGGCGGCGGCUGUCGGUUNNNNNNNNNNNNNNNNNNNNNNNNNNNNNNNNNNNNNNNNNNNNNNNNNNNNNNNNNNNNNNNNNNNNNNNNNNNNNNNNNNNNNNNNNNNNNNNNNNNNNNNNNNNNNNNNNNNNNNNNNNNNNNNNNNNNNNNNNNNNNNNNNNNNNNNNNNNNNNNNNNNNNNNNNNNNNNNNNNNNNNNNNNNNNNNNNNNNNNNNNNNNNNNNNNNNNNNNNNNNNNNNNNNNNNNNNNNNNNNNNNNNNNNNNNNNNNNNNNNNNNNNNNNNNNNNNNNNNNNNNNNNNNNNNNNNNNNNNNNNNNNNNNNNNNNNNNNNNNNNNNNNNNNNNNNNNNNNNNNNNNNNNNNNNNNNNNNNNNNNNNNNNNNNNNNNNNNNNNNNNNNNNNNNNNNNNNNNNNNNNNNNNNNNNNNNNNNNNNNNNNNNNNNNNNNNNNNNNNNNNNNNNNNNNNNNNNNNNNNNNNNNNNNNNNNNNNNNNNNNNNNNNNNNNNNNNNNNNNNNNNNNNNNNNNNNNNNCAGCGAGCGCGGACGCGUGGAUAGGGCAACGGCGGCAGCUGACGCGUGGGCGGGGCAGUGGUGGCUGUUGCGCGCGGGGGGCGGCGAGUGCAGGCGGGGCGCGCGGCGGCAGUCGCGUGGGCGUGCCGACGGCAAGUGGGGGCGGGGCAGCAGCAAGGGCUGUUGCGCGCGCGGGGGCGGUGAACGGGGGCGGGGCAGCGGCGGCUGGUGCGCGCGCGGGCAGCGAGCACGGGCGGCAACGAGAGACGGAUGAAGGGGGCGAGGGGAUAAGGUGAUUAACAGCUAACACAUUUUCAUGGAGCCACCCAUGUGUGCUUCCUCGCAUCUCUUGAGUCUCGCUUGCUAGAAACUGCCGAUUUGGCAGUUCCCAGUGAGCCACACCCAGAGGUGUUUUAAGAAUCGUGCGAUGUAAGCCCAAUAGCAUACAUAGGUAAUCAAACAGCUCAACACCAAAACGAUGAUGCAUACAUCAAGCCUUAUUUUGAUUCUAUGGGCAACCAAACGCACCCUAUAUUUUCUAUAUAUAUAUAUAUAUAUAUAUAUUGUUGUUCACUGGAGUAAACAAAUAUAAGGAGUAAAAACAGUUCAUAACAGAGCUUAAAACUUAACUUCCCAAAUCUUUUAACACAAAUUCAUUUGCGUUCAUUGAGCUAAAAGCUUCACUACUCAACUACGUCAUUAAACAAUACUUUGGGCAUAUAGUUCACCAGUUCCUCGCUGGGAGAACUCAUCCAAACAGAAAGACAAAAAAAUUACACGCUUCAACGGAAACACAACUUCCUUAACUACUACUUCAAGUCCAAUAAUUACUUUCUUCAUCUCUUUAAGUUCAUUGCCAACACCUUUUCCCUUCUCCGUUGACAUCUCUGGCCUGCGCACUUGUUUCGUCUCUGCCUUCUCAUAAAGAACUUGGACAUUGUGUCCUCGGUGAUCGUGGCUCUAACAACUAGUACAUCAACAUCCAAUUGACCUCCCCUAAUCAAUCAAUAUAUUCUUCUUUGCAAUACCAAAAGUUGCAACCUUUCUGCAUAGUAUUAGGCCAACAACGAGCUCAAAUUUCUUGAAAUGAAGAACAUACACAAAAUAUUGCACUUACUUUGCCAUUUUCACAAUUGUAGAAGACCCAUCUUGGGUGGUUCUCCGCGUCGCGGAGACCCGGAGCAGCACCAGCCGUUCGCAGUCAUUGCACUUUAUGAGCGAAAAAGGCGGGCUAAUGCGCGAAGGCCGAGCCCGGUCGACUGACAGAUGAGGGUCUGCCGGUAGUUAGAGGGGCAGAGAGAUGCGGCCGCCGUGAGGAGGAAUACAUCCCACGAGGAGCUCCAGAGAUAGCAGGGUGUUAGAAUUAAUCUGAGGUACACGACCGAUCCACGAGGAAUAAGCUAUCACAACAUGAUGAUGACAUCGAGAUUUUUAACGAGGUUAGGCGAACUCGCCUACUCUCCAGGGCAAUGAUUACGGGCGCUCCUCCCAAAGAUAUCGUAACACUGGCUGCCCUGGACGCCGACACAUGCCACCGGCUCCCCUCCAUUCCUGUCACUAUCUAGUGGUUAUGGGUUACAACUUGGGGUGCCUCAUCAUGUAUAAGAGGCCAAGAGCACAACGUAUCCGACUCCAACACUACAAGUAACACUACACGUAUCCUACCUACUACAACACCAAGUCUAAACAUAACUCGAUUCAUACACAAUAUACACAUACAGAAGAAACUCUAUCUUAGCGAAUAUUCUCCACCACCUUGAAUUCAUCCAUGCAUCAAACUUCCAUGUAUUAUGGACUUGGGUUGUCUUCUUCCUAUCUUACGUAGAGCUACUCGACGAGCCUGCCUAGACCCACCACCUCUGUGGGACCCUGCUGCUACUCUUGCAACUACAGUCUCCAUGACUCCACCUGCGAUAGUGCUCCCUUGGAACUUGUGAAGAUGUGAAGCCAUAUUCUCUCCCAUCAUCACGGUCACCUCACCUUCCAUGUUUUUCAUGGUCUUCUUAUCCCGACCACAAUGGAAUACCAUACCACCAUCAUGAAGAACUCCAAACAAAAUUAGAUUCCUCCUUAGCCCUGGCACAUGCCUGACUCCUAGAAGCAUCCGAACAACUUCAUCAAACAUCUUGAUUUUGAUGUCACCUACUCCAGCAACACGAUAACUUGUUUCAUCACCCACAUAGGCCAAACGAAACUUCCAAACUUGUAUGAAGAGAACCACUCCAUGUUGGGUGUCGCAUGGAAUGAGCUAGCUGAAUCCAACAUCCACACUUCUCUUUUGCUUGAUCACAUGUAUGAUACUACGAGGACAUCACUACUGUUGCCUAAGUCAUCACCAUGAGUUUCCAUAUUAGCACUUGUAACACCUCGGUGUAAUGAUGCUACAGUAACCCCUGGGGUUAAGUUAAUCUUUUUGCUGAACAUGUGUCUGAUCAUUAUUAUCUCAUGUUUCUUUCAACUUCCCCUUUGAAGGCAAUUUCAAAUGCUAAGUGAAAUUCAAAAUUUCUCAAACAUGAAAACAAAAAUGUUCAUCAUGUGCCAAAUAUUCCACAACUAAUAUAUUGGUGAACCAACAUUUUUGCAAAGGGUUUAAGUGGCCUAAACUACUUAAAACAGUGACCUAAGCAAUAAAUUAAAUGCCCUUUUUAAUUUAUAUAAAAUUGGCAACUAUUCCAAAAGCCUCCCAACCUUUUUGUGGCAGUGCACUUUAAUUCUUUGAAGUUGUUUUGGCCAAUGGCAUAAUUUUGCAAAGUCAUUAUUGGCCAAAAAUAAAAUGCAAAAGCUGCUGAAAAUAAAAAGAAAAACUAAAAGAAAGAAAAAGCAGAGGAGAGAGAGAGAAAGCCCCCUGCCUCAUGAUACGUACAUUUUGCAUCAUGCUUUUACAUGGAUAUUUAUUGCAUUAUGAGAUGUUAUUACUCGUUAUGUCACAAUACUUAUGCAUAUUCUCUCUUAUUUUACAGGGUUUACAUAAGGAGGGAGAAUGCCGGCAGCUGGAAUUCUGGGCUGGAAAAGGAGCAAAUAUUAGAGACCUAUUCUGCACAACUCCAGAAGUCCUCAAACUCCACGAAAGUCAUUUUUGGAAAUAAUAAAAAAUAUUGAGCGGAAGAAGUACAUCAGAGGGGGACCCACCUGGCCACGAGGGUGGGAGGCGCGCCCUACCCCCAGGCCACGCCCCCUGCCUCGUGGGCCCCCUGUUGUUGUUGGGUUUCGUAGUAAUUUCAAAAAAUUUCCUACGCACACGCAAGAUCAUGUGAUGCAUAGCAACGAGGGGAGAGUAUUGUCUACGUACCCAACGCAGACCGACUGCGGAAGCGAUGACACGACGUAGAGGAAGUAGUCGUACGUCUUCUCGAUCCAACCGAUCAAACACCGAAACUACGGCACCUCCGAGUUCGAGCACACGUUCAGCUCGAUGACGAUCCCCGGACUCCGAUCCAGCAAAGUGUCGGAGAAGAGUUUCGUCAGCACGACGGCGUGGUGACGUUCUUGAUGAACUACAGCAGCAGGGCUUCGCCUAAACUCCGCUACAAUAUUAUCGAGGAAUAUGGUGGCAGGGGGCACCGCACACGGCUAAGGAAUCGAUCACGUGGAUCAACUUGUGUCAACUUGUGUGUUUAGAGGUGCCCCUGCCUCCGUAUAUAAAGGAGCCAAGGGGGAGGGGGCGCCGGCCAAGAGGGAGAGGCGCAGGAGGAGUCCUACUCCUACCGGGAGUAGGACUCCCCCCCCCCAAUCCUAUUCCAACUAGGAUUCCCAAGGGGAAAGAGGGAGAGGGGUGGCCGGCCACCUCUCCUAGUCCUAAUAGGACUAGGGGAAGGGGGGAGGCGCGCAGCCCCCUUGGGCUGCCCCUUUCUCCUUUCCACUAAGGCCCAUGAUGGCCCAUAUGGUUCCCGGGGGGUUCCGGUAACCCUCCCGGUAUUCCGGUAAAAUCCCGAUUUCACCCGGAACACUUCCGAUAUCCAAAUAUAGGCUUCCAAUAUAUCAAUCUUUACGUCUCGACCAUUUCGAGACUCCUAGUCAUGUCCGUGAUCACAUCCGGGACUCCGAACAACCUUCGGUACAUCAAAAUGCAUAAACUCAUAAUAUAACUGUCAUCGUAACCUUAAGCGUGCGGACCCUACGGGUUCGAGAACAAUGUAGACAUGACCGAGACACGUCACCGGUCAAUAACCAAUAGCGGGACCUGGAUGCCCAUAUUGGCUCCUACAUAUUCUACGAAGAUCUUUAUCGGUCAGACCGCAUAACAACAUACGUUGUUCCCUUUGUCAUCGGUAUGUUACUUGCCCGAGAUUCGAUCGUCGGUAUCCAAUACCUAGUUCAAUCUCGUUACUGGCAAGUCUCUUUACUCGUUCCGUAAUACAUCAUCUCACAACUAACAUAUUAGUUGUAAUGCUUGUAAGGCUUAUGUGAUGUGUAUUACCGAGAGGGCCCAGAGAUACCUCUCCGACAAUCGGAGUGACAAAUCCUAAUCUCGAAAUACGCCAACCCAACAUCGACCAUUGGAGACACCUGUAGUACUCCUUUAUAAUCACCCAGUUACGUUGUGACGUUUGGUAGUACCCAAAGUGUUCCUCCGGUAAACGGGAGUUGCAUAAUCUCAUAGUCAUAGGAACAUGUAUAAGUCAUGAAGAAAGCAAUAGCAACAUACUAAACGAUCAGGUGCUAAGCUAAUGGAAUGGGUCAUGUCAAUCAGAUCAUUCAACUAAUGAUGUGACCUCGUUAAUCAAAUAACAACUCAUUGUUCAUGGUCAGGAAACAUAACCAUCUUUGAUUAACGAGCUAGUCAAGUAGAGGCAUAUUAGUGACACUCUGUUUGUCUAUGUAUUCACACAUGUAUUAUGUUUCCGGUAAAUACAAUUCUAGCAUGAAUAAUAAACAUUUAUCAUGAUUAUCAGGAAAUAAAUAAUAACUUUAUUAUUGCCUCUAGGGCAUAUUUCCUUCAGUCUCCCACUUGCACUAGAGUCAAUAAUCUAGUUCACAUCGCCAUGUGAUUUAACAGCAAUAGUUCACAUCACCAUGUGAUUAACACCCAUAGUUCACAUGGCUAUGUGACCAACACCCAAAGGUUUUACUAGAUUCAGUAAUUUAGUUCACAUCGCUAUGUGAUUAACACCCAAGGAGUACUAAGGUGUGAUCAUGUUUUGCUUGUGAGAGAAUCUUAGUCAACGGGUCUGCCACAUUCAGAUCCUCAUGUAUUUUGCAAAUUUCUAUGUCAACAAUGCUCUGCAUGGAGCUACUCUAGCUAAUUGCUCCCACUUUCAAUAUGUAUCUAGAUCGAGACUUAGAGUCAUCUAGAUUAGUGUCAAACUUGCAUCGGCGUAACCCUUUACGACGAACCUUUUUCCACUUCCAUAAUCGAGAAACAUAUCCUUAUUUCACUAAGGAUAAUUUUGACCGCUGUCCAGUGAUCUACUCCUAGAUCAUUAUUGUACUCCCUUGCCAAACUCAGUGGUAGGGCAUACAAUAGAUCUGGUAUACAGCAUGGCAUACUUUAUAGAACCUAUGACUGAGGCAUAGGGAAUGACUUUUGUUCUCUUUCUAUUUUCUGCCGUGGUCGGGCUUUGAGUCUUACUCAACUUCACACCUUGUAACACAGGCAAGAACUCUUUCUUUGACUGUUCCAUUUUGAACUACUUCAAAAUCUUGUCAAGGUAUGUACUCAUUGGAAAAACUUAUCAAGCGUCUUGAUCUAUCUAUAAAUCUUGAUACUCAAUAUGUAAGCAGCUUUACCGAAGUCUUUCUUUGAAAAAACUCCUUUCAAACAUUCCUUUAUGCUUUACAGAAUAAUUCUACAUUAUUUCCGAUCAACAAUAUGUCAUUCACAUAUACUUCAUCAGAAAUGCUGUAGUACUCCCACUCACUUUCUUGUAAAUACAGGCUUCACCGCAAGUCUGUAUAAAACUAUAUGCUUUGAUCAACUCAUCAAAGCGUAUAUUCCAACUCCGAGAUGCUUGCACCAGUCCACAGAUGGAUCGCUGGAGCUUGCACAUUUUGUUAGCACCUUUCGGAUUGACAAAACCUUCUGCUGCAUCAUAUACAACUCUUCUUUAAUAAAUCCAUUAAGGAAUGCAGUUUUGUUUAUCCAUUUGCCAGAUUUCAUAAAAAACGGCAAUUACUAACAUGAUUCAGACAGACUCAAGCAUAGAUACGAUUGAGAAGCUCUCAUUGUAGUCAACACCUUGAACUUGUCGAAAACCUUUCGCGACAAUUCUAGCUUUGUAGAUAGUAACACUACUAUCAGCGUCCGUCUUCCUCUUGAAGAUCCAUUUAUUCUCAAUUGCUUGCCGAUCAUCGGGCAAGUCAACCAAAGUCCAAACUUUGUUCUCAUACAUGGAUCAUAUCUCAGACUUCAUGGCCUCAAACCAUUUCGCGGAAUCUGGGCUCAUCAUCGCUUCCUCAUAGUUCGUAGGUUUGUCAUAGUCAAGUAACAUGACCUCCAAAACAGGAUUACCGUACCACUCUGGUGCGGAUCUCACUCUGGUUUACCUACGAGAUUCGGUAGUAACUUGAUCUGAAGUUACAUGAUCAUCAUCAUUAGCUUCCUUACUAAUUGGUGUAGUAGUCACAAGAACAGAUUUUUUGUGAUGAACUACUUUCCAAUAAGGGAGAAGGUACAAUUACCUUAUCAAGUUUUCUACUUUCCUCCCACUCACUUCUUUCGAGAGAAACUCCUUCUCCAGAAAAACUCCGAAUUUAGCAACAAAAGUCUUGCCUUCGGAUUUGUGAUAGAAGGUGUACCCAACAGUUUCCUUUGGGUAUCCUAUGAAGACGCACUUCUCCGAUUUGAGUUUGAGCUUAUCAGGUUGAAACUUUUUCACAUAAGCAUUGCAACCUCAAACUUUAAGAAACGACAGCUUAGGUUUCUUGCCAAACCAUAGUUCAUACGGUGUCGUCUCAACGGAUUUAGAUGGUGCCCUUUUAACGUGAAUGCAGCUGUCUCUAAUGCAUAACCCCAAAAUGAUAGUGGUAGAUCGGUAAGAGACAUCAUAGAUCGCACCAUAUCUAAUAAAGUACGGUUAUGACGUUCGGACACACCAUUACAUUGUGGUGUUCCAGGUGGCGUGAGUUUGUGAAACUAUUCCACAUUGUUUUAAUUGAAGACCAAACUCGUAACUCAAAUAUUUGUCUCCGCGAUCAGAUCGUAGAAACUUUAUUUUCUUGUCACGAUAAUUUUCCACUUCACUCUGAAAUUCUUUGAACUUUUCAAAUGUUUCAGACUUAUGUUUCAUCAAGUAGAUAUACCCAUAUCUGCUCAAAUCAUCUAUGAAGUUCAGAAAAUAACGAUACUUGCCGUGAGCCUUAACACUCAUCGGACCGCAUACAUCAGUAUGUAUUAUUUCCAAUAAGUCAGUUGCUCGCUCCGGAGAACGGAGUCUUAGUCAUCUUGCCCAUGAGGCAUGGUUCGCAAGCAUCAAGUGAUUCAUAAUAAAGUGAUUCCAAAAUCCCAUUAGCAUGGAGUUUCUUCAUGCGCUUUACACCAAUAUGACCUAAACGGCAGUGCUACAAAUAAGCUGCACUAUCAUUAUUAACUUUGCAUCUUUUGGUUUCAAUAUUAUGAUUAUGUGUAUCACUACGAUCGAGAUCCAAUGAACUAUUUUCAUUGGGUGUGUAACCAUAUAAGGUUUUAUUCAUGUAAAUAGAAUAACAAUUUAUUCUCUUACUUAAAUGAAUAACCGUAUUACAAUAAACAUGAUCAAAUCAUAUUCAUGCUCAACGCAAACACCAAAUAACACUUAUUCAGGUUCAACACUAAUCCCGAAAGUAUAGGGGAGUGUGUGAUGAUGAUCAUAUCAAUCUUGGAACUACUUCCAACACACAUCGUCACUUCACCCUUAACUAGUCUCUGUUUAUUCUGCAACUCCCGUUUCAAGUUACUAAUCUUAGCAACUGAACUAGUAUCAAAUACUGAGGGGUUGCUAUAAACACUAGUAAAGUACACAUCAAUAACAUGUAUAUCAAAUAUACUUAUGUUCACUUUGCCAUCCUUCUUAUCCGCCAAUCACUUGGGGUAGAUCCGCUUCCAGUGACCAGUCCCUUUGCAGUAGAAACACUUAGUCUCAGGCUUAGGAUCAGACUUGGGCUUCUUCACUUGAGCAGCAACUUGCUUGCUGUUCUUCUUGAAGUUACCCUUCUUCCUUCUGCCCCUUUUCUUGAAACUAGUGGUCUUGUCUACCAUCAACACUUGAUGUUUUUUUCGAUUUCUACCUUCGUCAAUUUCCGCAUUACGAAGAGCUUGGGAAUCGUUUCCGUUAUCCCUUGCAUGUCAUAGUUCAUCACGAAGUUCUACUAACUUGGUGAUGGUGACUAGAGAAUUCUGUCAAUCACUAUCUUAUCUGGAAGAUUAACUCCCACUUGAUUCAAGCGAUUGUAGUACUCAGACAAUCUGAGCACAUGCUCACUAGUUGAGCGAUUCCCCUCCAUCUUUUAGCUAUAGAACUUGUUGGAGACUUCAUAUCUCUCAACUCUGGUAUUUGCUUGAAAUAUUAACUUCAACUCCAGGAACAUCUCAUAUGGUCCAUGACGUUCAAAACGUCUUUGAAGUCCCGAUUCUAAGCCGUUUAAGCAUGGUGCACUAAACUAUCAAGUAGUCAUCAUAUUGAGCCAGCCAAACGUUCAUAACGUCUGCAUCUGCUCCUGCAAUAGGUCUGUCACCUAGCGGUGCAUCAAGGACAUAAUUCUUCUGUGCAGCAAUGAGGAUAAACCUCAGAUCACGGAUCCAAUCCGCAUCAUUGCUACUAACAUUUUUCAACACAAUUUUUCUCUAGGAACAUAUCAAAAUAAACACAGGGAAGCAACAACGCGAGCUAUUGAUCUACAACAUAAUUUGCAAAAUACUAUCAGGACUAAGUUCAUGAUAAAUUAAAGUUCAAUUAAUCAUAUUACUUAAAGAACUCCCACUUAGAUAGACAUCCCUCUAAUCUUCUAAGUGAUUACAUGAUCCAAAUCAACUAAACCAUGACCGAUCAUCACGUGAGAUGGAGUAGUUUUCAAUGGUGAACAUCGUUUAUGUUGAUCAUAUCUACUAUAUGAUUCACGCUCGACCUUUCGGUCUCCGUGUUCCGAGGCCAUAUCUGCAUAUGCUAGGCUCGUCAAGUUUAACCUGAGUAUUCUGCGUGUGCAAAAACUGGCUUGCACCCGUUGUAGAUGGACGUAGAGCUUAUCACACCCGAUCAUCACGUGGUGUCUGGGCACGACGAACUUUGGCAACGGUGCAUACUCAGGGAGAACACUUCUUGAUAAUUUAGUGAGAGAUCAUCUUAUAAUGCUACCGUCAAUCAAAGCAAGAUAAGAUGCAUAAAAAGAUAAACAUCACAUGCAAUCAAUAUAAGUGAUAUGAUAUGGCCAUCAUCAUCUUGUGCUUGUGAUCUCCAUCUCCGAAGCACCGUCAUGAUCACCAUCGUCACCGGCGCGACACCUUGAUCUCCAUCAUAGCAUCGUUGUCGUCUUGCCAAUCUUAUGCUUUCACGACUAUCACUACCGUUUAGUAAUAAAGUAAAGCAUUACAUCGCGAUUGCAUUGCAUAAAAUAAAGCGACAACCAUAUGGCUCCUGCCAGUUGCCGAUAACUUGGUUACAAAACAUGAUCAUCUCAUACAAUAAAAUUCAGCAUCAUGCCUUGACCAUAUCACAUCACAACAUGCCCUGCAAAAACAAGUUAGACGUCCUCUACUUUGUUGUUGCAUGUUUUACGUGGCUGCUACGGGCUUAAGUAAGAACCAAUCUCACCUACGCAUCAAAACCACAACGAUAGUUUGUCAAAUAGACUCCGUUUUAACCUUCGCAAGGACCGGGCGUAGCCAUACUUGGUUCAACUAAAGUUGGAGAGACAGUCGCCCGCAAGCCAUCUCUGUGCAAAGCACGUCGAGGGAACCGGUCUCGCGUAAGCGUACGCGUAAGGUUGGUCUGGGUCGUCUCGUCCAACAAUACCGCCGAACCAAAAUAUGACAUGCUGGUAGGCAGUAUGACUUGUAUCGUCCACAACUCACUUGUGUUCUACUCGUGCAAAUAACAUCAACAUCAAUAACCUAGGCUCGGAUGCCAUUGUUGGGUUUCGUAGUAAUUUCAAAAAAAUUCCUACGCACACGCAAGAUCAUGUGAUGCAUAGCAACGAGGGGAGAGUAUUGUCUACUUACCCAACGCAGACCGACUGCGGAAGCGAUGACACGACGUAGAGGAAGUAGUCGUACGUCUUCUCGAUCCAACCGAUCAAGCACCGAAACUACGGCACCUCCGAGUUCGAGCACACGUUCAGCUCGAUGACGAUCCCCGGACUCCGAUCCAGCAAAGUGUCGGAGAAGAGUUUCGUCAGCACGACGGCGUGGUGACGAUCUUGAUGAACUACAGCAGCAGGGCUUCGCCUAAACUCCGCUACAGUAUUAUCGAGGAAUAUGGUGGCAGGGGGCACCGCACACGGCUAAGGAAUCGAUCACGUGGAUCAACUUGUGUCAACUUGUGUGUUUAGAGGUGCCCCUGCCUCCGUAUAUAAAGGAGCCAAGGGGGGAGGGGGCGCCGGCCAAGAGGGAGAGGCGCAGGAGGAGUCCUACUCCUACCAGGAGUAGGACUCCCCCCCCCCCAAUCCUAUUCCAACUAGGAUUCCCAAGGGGAAAGAGGGAGAGGGGUGGCCGGCCACCUCUCCUAGUCCUAAUAGGACUAGGGGAAGGGGGGAGGCGCGCAGUCCCCUUGGGCUGCCCCUUUCUCCUUUCCACUAAGGCCCAUGAUGGCCCAUAUGGUUCCCGGGGGGUUCCGGUAACCCUCCCGGUAUUCCGGUAAAAUCCCGAUUUCACCCGGAACACUUCCGAUAUCCAAAUAUAGGCUUCCAAUAUAUCAAUCUUUACGUCUCGACCAUUUCGAGACUCCUCGUCAUGUCUGUGAUCACAUCCGGGACUCCGAACAACCUUCGGUACAUCAAAAUGCAUAAACUCAUAAUAUAACUCUCAUCGUAACCUUAAGCGUGCGGACCCUACGGGUUCGAGAACAAUGUAGACAUGACCGAGACACGUCACCGGUCAAUAACCAAUAGCGGGACCUGGAUGCCCAUAUUGGCUCCUACAUAUUCUACGAAGAUCUUUAUCGGUCAGACCGCAUAACAACAUACGUUGUUCCCUUUGUCAUCGGUAUGUUACUUGCCCGAGAUUCGAUCGUCGGUAUCCAAUACCUAGUUCAAUCUCGUUACUGGCAAGUCUCUUUACUCGUUCCAUAAUACAUCAUCUCACAACUAACAUAUUAGUUGUAAUUCUUGCAAGGCUUAUGUGAUGUGUAUUACCGAGAGGGCCCAGAGAUACCUCUCCGACAAUCGGAGUGACAAAUCCUAAUCUCGAAAUACGCCAACCCAACAUCGACCAUUGGAGACACCUGUAGUACUCCUUUAUAAUCACCCAGUUACGUUGUGACGUUUGGUACUACCCAAAGUGUUCCUCCGGUAAACGGGAGUUGCAUAAUCUCAUAGUCAUAGGAACGUGUAUAAGUCAUGAAGAAAGCAAUAGCAACAUACUAAACGAUCAGGUGCUAAGCUAAUGGAAUGGGUCAUGUCAAUCAGAUCAUUCAACUAAUGAUGUGACCUCGUUAAUCAAAUAACAACUCAUUGUUCAUGGUCAGGAAACAUAACCAUCUUUGAUUAACGAGCUAGUCAAGUAGACGCAUACUAGUGACACUCUGUUUGUCUAUGUAUUCACACAUGUAUUAUGUUUCCAGUAAAUACAAUUCUAGCAUGAAUAAUAAACAUUUAUCAUGAUUAUCAGGAAAUAAAUAAUAACUUUAUUAUUGCCUCUAGGGCAUAUUUCCUUCAGUUGUCCCUCUAGUUGCCAUCUUCUACUAUAUGAGGUCUUUCAUCGAGAAAAAAAUCACAAGCAACCUUUCGGGACGAGACUCCGCCGCCACGAGGCGGAACCUUGGCGGAACCAAUCUAGGGCUCCGGCAGAGCUGUUCUGCCGGGGACACUUCCCUCCGGGAGGGGGAAAUCAUCGCCAUCGUCAUCACCAACGCUCCUCUCAUCGGGAGACGGAAAUCUCCAUCAACAUCUUCACCAGCACCAUCUCCUCUCAAAACCCUAGUUCAUCUCUUGUAUCCAAUUCUUGUCUCCAAGUCCGGGAUUGGUACUAGUAGGUUGCUAGUAAUGUUGAUUACUCCUUGUAGUUGAUGCUAGUUGGUUUAUUUGGUGGAAGAUCAUAUAUUCAGAUCCUUUAUGCAUAUUAAUACCCCUCUGAUUAUGAACAUGAAUAUGCUUUGUGAGUAGUUAUGUUUGUUCCUGAGUACAUGGGAGAAGUCUUGCUAUUAGUAGUCAUGUGAAUUUGGUAUUCGUUCGAUAUUUUGAUGAGAUGUAUGUUGUCUAGCCUCUAGUGGUGUUAUGUGAACGUCAACUACAUAACACUUCACCAUUAUUUGGGCCUAGAGGAAGGCAUUGGGAAGUAAUAAGUAGAUGAUGGGUUGCUAGAGUGACAGAAGCUUAAACCCUAGUUUAUGCGUUGCUUCGUAAGGGGCUGAUUUGGAUCCAUAUGUUUCAUGCUAUGGUUAGGUUUACCUUAAUACUUUUGUUGUAGUUGCGGAUGCUUGCAAUAGAGGUUAAUCAUAAGUGGGAUGCUUGUUCAAGUAAGAACAACACCCAAGCAACGGUCCACCCAUAUAUCAAAUUAUCAAAGUACCAAACGUGAAUCAUGUGAACGUGAUGAAAACUAGCUUGACGAUAUUCCCAUGUGUCCUCGGGAGCGCCUUCCUUCAUAUAAGAGUUUGUCCAGGCUUUUCCUUUGCUACAAAAAGGAUUGGGCCACCUUGCUGCACUUUAUUUACUUUUGUUACUUGUUGCUCGUUACAAAUUAUCUUAUCACAAAACUAUCUGUUACUACUUAUUUUAGUGCUUGCAGAGAAUACCUUGCUGAAAACCGCUUAUCGUUUCCUUCUGCUCCUCGUUGGGUUCGACACUCUUACUUAUCGAAAGGACUACGAUAGACCCCCUAUAUUUGUGGGUCAUCAAGACUCUUUUCUGGCGCCGUUGCCGGGGAGUGAAGUGCCUUUGGUAGGUGGAAUUUGGUAAGGAAAAAUCUAUAUAGUGUGCUGAAAUUUAUUGUCACUUGUUACUAUGGAAAGUAAUCCUCUAAGGGCCUUGUUUGGGGUAUCUUCACCCCGACCAGUAAAGCAAAGAGUUUCUCCUCAACCUACUGAACCUAUUGCAUUUGAAAAUGUUCCCUUUGAAGUUCCUUUGGGUAUGUUAGAAAAACUGCUAGCUAAUCCUUUUUUAGGAGAUGGAACAAAGCAUCCUGAUGAACACCUAAUCUUUGUGGAUGAAGUUUGUGGAUUAUUUAAGCUUGCAGGUAUACCUGAUGAUGUUGUUAAAAAGAAGGUCUUUCCUUUAUCUUUGAAGGAAGAUGCAUCGACAUGGUAUAGGCUAUGUGAUGAUACGGGAUCAUGGAACUAUAAACGAUUGAAAUUGGAAUUUCAUCAGAAAUUUUAUCCUAUGCAUCUUGUUCAUCAUGAUCGCAAUUAUAUAUAUAAUUUUUGGCCUCGCAAAGGAGAAAGCAUCGCUCAAGCUUGGGGGAGGCUUAAAUCAAUGUUAUAUUCAUGCCCCAAUCAUGAGCUCUCAAGAGAAAUAAUUCUUCAAAAAAUUUAUGCUCGGCUUUCUCAUAAUAAUCAAUCCAUGCUCGAUACUUCUUGUGCUGGCUCUUUUAUGAUGAAGACUAUUGAAUUCAAAUGGAAUUUAUUGGAUAGAAUUAAAUGCAACUCUGAAGAUUGGGAUCUCGACGAAGGUAAGGAGUCAGGUAUGACACCUAAGUUUGAUUGUGUUAAGUCUUUUAUGGAUACCGAUGUUUUCCGUAAAUUUAGCACUAAAUAUGGACUUGACUCUGAGAUAGUAGCCUCUUUCUGUGAAUCUUUUGCUACUUAUGUUGAUCUCCCCAAGGAGAAGUGGUUUAAAUAUCAUCCUACCAUAGAACUAAAAGUAGUUGCACCUACUAAAGUUGAAGAAAAGACUGUCACUUAUAAUGAUCCUAUUGUUCCUACUUCUUAUGUUGAGAAACCACCUUUCCCUGUUAGAAUAAAGGAUCAUGCUAAAGCUUCAACUAUGGUUCGUAAAAGCAAUAUUAGAACUUAUACACCUCCUGAGCAAAUUAAAGUUGAACCUAAUAUUGCUACUGUUAAAGAUCUCUUGGCUGAUAAUAUUGACGGGCAUGUUAUUCAAUUCUCCGGUGAAACCGCUAGAAUUGCCAAACCUUGUGCUCAAGAUAAACAUAGACCUGUGGUAGGCGUGCAUGUUAUUUCUGUUAAAAUAGGAGAUCAUUGUUACCAUGGCUUAUGUGAUAUGGGUGCUAGUGCUAGUGUUAUACCUAUUGCCUUAUACAACGAAAUUAAGCAUGAUAUUGCACCUGCAGAGUUAGAAGAUAUUGAUGUCACAAUUAAGCUUGCCAAUAGAGAUACUAUAUCACCAAUGGGAUUUGUUAGAGAUGUUGAAGUCUUGUGUGGGAAAACUAAAUAUCCUGCUGAUUUUCUUGUUCUUGGUUCCCCACAAGAUAGCUUUUGUCCCAUUAUUUUUGGUAGACCCUUCUUGAACACUGUUAAUGCUGAGAUAGACUGCGAAAAGAAUGUUGUUGCUAUUGGCUUGGGUGAUAUGUCUCAUGAGUUUAAUUUCUCUAAAUUUAGUAGACAACACCGUGAAGAAGAAUUGCCUAGUAAGGAUGAAAUUAUUGGCCUUGCUUCUAUUGCCGUACCUCCUAGUGAUCGUUUAGAACAAUAUUUGCUAGACCAUGAAAAUGAUAUGUUUAUGAAUGAAAGAAGGGAAAUAGAUGAAGUAUUCUUUAAACAGGAACCCAUUCUGAAGCACAAUUUGCCUGUUGAAAUCCUAGGGGAUCCUCCUCCACCCAAGGGUGAUCCCAUGUUUGAGCUUAAACCAUUGCCUGAUACUCUUAAAUAUGCUUAUCUUGAUGAAAAGAAGAUAUAUCCUGUUAUUAUUAGUGCUAACCUUUCAGAGCAUGACGAAGAGAGAUUAUUGAAAACUCUGAAGAAGCACCGCGCUGCUAUUGGAUAUACUCUUGAUGAUCUUAAGGGCAUUAGUCCCACUCUAUGUCAACAUAAAAUAAAUUUGGAAGAAGAUGCUAAACCAGUUCGUGAUCAUCAACGAAGGCUGAAUCCUAAGAUGAAAGAAGUGGUAAGAAAAGAAAUACUAAAGCUUCUGGAGGCAGGUAUAAUUUAUCCCGUUGCUGAUAGUAAGUGGGUAAGUCCUGUCCAUUGUGUCCCUAAGAAGGGAGGUAUUACUGUUGUUCCUAAUGAUAAAGAUGAAUUGAUUCCGCAAAGAAUUAUUACAGGUUAUAGGAUGGUAAUUGAUUUCUGCAAAUUAAAUAAAGCUACUAAGAAAGAUCAUUACCCCUUACCCUUUAUCGAUCAAAUGCUAGAAAGAUUAUGCAAACACACACAUAAUUGCUUUCUAGAUGGUUAUUUUGGUUUCUCUCAAAUACCCGUGUCAGCUAAUGAUCAAUCAAAGACUACCUUUACCUGACCUUUUGAUACUUUUGCUUAUAGACGUAUGCCUUUUGGUUUAUAUAAUGCACCUGCUACCUUUCAAAGAUGCAUGAUGGUUAUAUUCUCUGAUUUUUGUGAAAAGAUUUGUGAGGUUUUCAUGGAUGACUUUUCCGUCUAUGGAUCCUCUUUUGAUGAUUGCUUGAGCAACCUUGAUCGCGUUUUGUAGAGAUGUGAAGAAACUAAUCUUGUUUUGAAUUGGGAAAAGUGUCACUUUAUUGUUAAUGAAGGUAUUGUCUUGGGGCAUAAAGUUUCUGAAAGAGGUAUUGAGGUUGAUAAAGCCAAGGUUGAUGCUUGAUACGUCUCCAAUGUAUCUACUUUUCCAAACACUUUUGCCCUUGUUUUGGACUCUAACUUGUAUGAUUUGAAUGAAACUAACCCGGACUGACGCUGUUUUCAGCAGAACUGCCAUGAUGUUGUUUUAUGUGUAGAAAACAAAAGUUCUCGGAAUGUCCUGAAAAUCCACGGAGGCACUUUUCAGAAUUAAUAAGAAUUUUUGGCGAAAGAUUGAAGGCCAGGGGGGCCACGGGCUGUCCACGAGAUAGGGGGGCGCGCCCCCCCUAGGGCGCGCCCUCCUAUCUCGUGGGCCCCCUGGACACCUCCCGACCUCAACUCCAACUCCAUAUAUACCGUCUCGGGGAGAGAAAAAUCAAGGAGAAAGUUUCAUCGCGUUUUACGACACGGAGCCACCGCCAAGCCCUAAUCUCUCUCAGGAGGGCUGAUCUGGAGUCUGUUCGGGGCUCCGGAGAGGGGGAUUCGUCGCCGUCGUCAUCAUCAACCAUCCUCCAUCACCAAUUUCAUGAUGCUCACCGCCGUGCGUGAGUAAUUCCAUCAUAGGCUUGCUGGACGGUGAUGGGUUGGAUGAGAUUUACCAUGUAAUCAAGUUAGUUUUGUUAGGGUUUGAUCCCUAGUAUCCACUAUGUUCUGAGAUUGAUGUUGCUAUGACUUUGCUAUGCUUAAUGCUUGUCACUAGGGCCCGAGUACCAUAAUUUCAAAUCUGAACCUAUUAUGUUUUCAUGAAUAUAUGUGUGUUCUUGAUCCUAUCUUGCAAGUCUAUAGUCACCUAUUAUGUGUUAUGAUCCGGCAACCCCGAAGUGACAAUAAUCGGGAUACUUCUCGGUGAUGACCGUAGUUUGAGGAGUUCAUGUAUUCACUAUGUGCUAAUGCUUUGUUCCGAUUCUCUAUUAAAAGGAGGCCUUGAUAUCCCUUAUUUUCCGCUAGGACCCCGCUGCCACGGGAGGGUAGAACAAAAGAUGGCAUGCAAGUUCUUUUCCAUAAGCACGUAUGACUAUUUACGGAAUACAUGCCUACAUUACAUUGAUGAACUGGAGCUAGUUCUAUAUCACCCUAUGUUACAACUAUUGCAUGAGGAAUCGCAUCCGGCAUAAUUAUCCAUCAUUGAUCCAUUGCCUACGAGCUUUUCAUAUAUUGUUAUUCUCUUAUUUACUUUUCCGUUGCUACUGUUACAAUUACUACAAAAACCCAAAAAUAUUUAUCUUUACUUUUGCUACCGCUACUAUUAUUGUCAUACCACUUUUGCUACUAAACACUUUGCUGCAGAUACUAAGUUAUCCAGGUGUGGUUGAAUUGACAACUCAACUGCUAAUACUCAAGAAUAUUCUUUGGCUCCCCUUGUGUCGAAUCAAUAAAUUUGGGUUGAAUACUCUACCCUCGGAAGCUGUUGCGAUCCCCUAUACUUGUGGGUUAUCAAGACUAAUUUCUGGCGCCGUUGCCGGGGAGCAUAGCUCUAUUCUCUGAGUCACUUGGGAUUUAUAUCUGUUGAUCACUAUGAAGAACUUGAAAGACGAUCGAACUACUAUUUUGCCCUCAACUACGAGGGGAGGUAAGGAACUGCCAUUUAGCUCUGCACUAGAUUCUCCUUCCGCUAUAAGUAAGCUUGCGACACCUAAACCUUCUACUGCUAUAAAUUCUGAUAUGUCGCAUGUUAUUGAUGAUGCCACUUCUGCUAUGAAUGAUGGAACUACUUCUUUGUGUGAUACUACUGUGCCACUAGGUGAAUUUCUAGUUGAACAACUUGCUAGAUUUAGGGGGAAUGAAAAUAUUGAAGAACCUAUUAUUGAUGACAGUGAUGAUGAAGGUACCCCCAAUGAUUAUGUUUUACCUGUUGUUCCUAAGGGUUAUGUUAUGCAUGAAACAGCUGCUAUGGAAAUUCUUGCUUGCAAUGAUAGAAAUGAUCUUAAGAAAUUAUUAGCUAAAUGGAAGCAGCAGUCUCUUAAUGCUAGAAUGAAACCCGAUCUUGCUUUUGCUACUUCACCUAUCUGUGUUACUGAUAAGGAUUAUGAAUUCUCUGUUGAUCCUGAUAUUAUUACUUUAGUUGAAUCUGAUCCUUUUUAUGGCCUUGAAUCUGAAACUGUUGUGGCACAUCUUACCAAGUUAAAUGAUAUAGCUACCAUGUUUACUAAUGAUGAGAAGUCUUGCUAUUUAUAUAUCCUUAAGAUAUUUCCGUUCUCAUUAAAGGGUGAUGCUAAGACUUGGUAUAAUUCUCUUGCUCCUGGUUGUGUGCGUAGUCCCCAGGAUAUGAUUUAUUACUUCUCUGCUAAAUGUUUCCCUGCUCAUAAGAAACAAGCUGCCUUGCGGGAAAUAUAUAAUUUUGUGGAAAUCAAAGAAGAGAGUCUCCCACAAGCUUGGGGGAGGCUUCUCCGGUUACUUAAUGCUUUGCCUGAUCACCCUCUUAAGAAAAAUGAAAUACUUGAUAUCCUUUAUAAUGGACUAACCGAUGCUUCCAAGGACUACUUGGAUAGUUGUGUUGGUUGUGUUUUCAGGGAAAGAACAGUCGACGAAGCUGAAAUACUAUUGAAUAACAUGUUGACUAAUGAAAAUAAUUGGACUCUUCCUGAGCCAAUUCCUGAAGUAAUUCCUAAACCAAUUGAGCCAACUCCUGAGCCUAUUCCUAAACCCACUCCGAAGAAGAGAGGUGUUUUAUUUCUCAGUCCUGAAGAUAUGCAAGAGGCAAUGAAAUCAAUGAAAGAAAAGGGUAUUAAAGCUAAAGAUGUUAAGAAUUUACCUCCUAUUGAAGAGAUACAUGGUCUUAAUUUACCGCCUGAAAAACCACAUUGUCUUGAUAACCCGACACAGGUAGUAAAGGUAAAUUCUCUUUAUAGAUAUGAUAAAGUUGAAAUACCCUCUACUAAAUUUCAUAGCCCAUGCUUAGAUGAGUUUGAUGACUUUAUGGCUAGACAAGAAAGUUAUAAUGCUUAUGUUGGUAGAGAGUUAAAGAAUAAUGCUUUCGAGAUAGGACACAUAGGUGAUAAUCUGGCUAGAGUUAAAGAUGAACUUCACCGCGUUAGCAAAUAUGCUUAUAUGGUUGCUACUCAAGCUGAGCAAGUACUUAAAGCUCAAAAUGAUUUGCUUGAGGAAUUAAAUAAUAAAAAUGACUUUGCUAUUAGAGUGGCUACUAGAACUGGUAGAAUGACUCAGGAACCUUUGUAUCUUGAAGGCUACCCUAAGAGAAUCGAGCAAGAUUCUCAGACAAAUAAUUUAGAGGCACCUAGUUCUUAUAAAAAGAAGAAAAACAAAAAUGAUAGAACUUUGCAUGCUUCUAGUGAACCUACUAAAGACACGCCUGAGAAUCCCAAUGAUAUUUAUAUUUUAGAUGCUGAAACACAAUCAGGUGAUGAACAUGAACCUAGUAAUAAUGUUAAUGAUAAUGUAAAUGUUGACGCUCAACCUAGAAAAAAUAAUGAUGUAGAGAUUGAACCUGCUGUUGAUCUUGAUAACCCACAAUCAAAGAAUCAACGUUAUGAUAAGACAGAUUUUGUUGCUAGGAAGCACGGUAAAGAAAGAGAACCAUGGGUUCAGAAACCCAUGCCCUUUCCUCCUAAACCAUCCAAGUCAAAGGAUGAUGAGGAUUUUGAGCGCUUUGCUGAAAUGAUUAGACCUAUUUUCUUACGCAUGCGCUUAACUGAUAUGCUUAAAGUAAAUCCUUAUGCUAAAUAUAUGAAGGAUAUCAUUACAAACAAAAGAAAGAUACCGGAAGCUGAAAUUUCCACCAUCCUUGCUAAUUCCACUUUUAAGGGUGGAAUACCAAAGAAACUUGGAGAUCCGGGUGUUCCAACUAUACCAUGCUCUAUUAAAAGAAAUUAUGUUAGAACUGCUUUAUGUGAUCUUGGAGCCGGUGUUAGUGUUAUGCCUCUCUCUUUAUAUCGUAGACUUGAAUUGAAUAAGUUGACACCUACUAAAAUAUCUUUGCAAAUGGAUGAUAAAUCAACUGCUAUACAUGUCGGUAUUUGUGAGGAUGUGCCUGUUGUGGUUGCAAAUGUCACUAUUUUAACGGACUUUGUUAUUCUUGAUAUUCCUGAGGACGAUAGUAUGUCUAUUAUCCUUGGUAGACCUUUUCUUAAUACUGCAGGGGCUUUUAUUGAUUGCAACAAAGGCAAUGUCACUUUUCAUGUUAAUGGUAAUGAGCAUACGGUACACUUUCCGAGGAAACAAUCUCAAGUUCAUAGCAUCAAUUCUAUUGAAAAAGUUCCAACUAUUAUUUUUGGAGGUUUUGAAUUUCCUCUCCCUACUGUCAAGAAAAAGUAUGAUAUUCUUAUUGUUGGGGAUUUUCAUAUCCCCGUUGAGGUAACUUAGUGUUAUUCGAAAUUUCUCCGGUUCCGUGUUAUUCGGAAUGAGCUUGUUAACAAGACUUGAUCAACCUUGUUAGUGGAUUCAUUUUGAUGAUCACGAGAUGGAUGAAACUAGAAGGCGCAACCUUCUGUAACAUCUUUUUACUUUCUGUUAUUUAGAAUAAAUAAAGCAAAAAUAGUAUUAUCCGUCUAUUUUCUAAAUUAUCCGUGCAUUAAAAAAUAGUCCGAAAAUAAAAGUGCUCCAAAUGCCCUGCAAAUUUAGUAUGAUUUUUUCUGGAAUAUUUGAGGAUUUUAAGCACUGAAAACACUGCAGGAGGGCCAAGCACCAGGCCACGAGAGAGGAGGGCGCCCCCCUAUAGGGCGCGCCCCCUGUCUCGUGGGCCCCUGGUGGGUCCCCUCCACUUAUGCCAGCACCCACACACUUCAUCUUCUACCCAAAAAAAAUCCCCAUCCAGCUCAAGCCCGAGUUCUAGCUCGUUUUGCUGCGAUUUUCGAUCUCUUAGCUCAAAGCUCCAUUCGCAAAACUGCUUUGGGAGAUUGUUGCUUGGUAUGUGACUCCUCCAUUGGUCCAAAUAGUUUUUGUUCUAGUGCUUUAUUCAUUGCAAAUUUUUGCUGCAUAGGUGACCAUGUUCUUGAGCUUGCAUGUUAAAUUUUUUAGGUCCCAAGCAAUUCCAAUGCAUGAUAUAGGAUCUAGGCACUUGUAGGAGUAGUUGCUAUCAAUCUUAUUUAGUUUUAUUCACUUUUAUUUUGAAGUUACUAAAAUUUCAGAAAUUUUCAGAAAAUGUUAAGGAGGUUCUUUAAAGGCUCUUCUAGCCAAAGCUCUAAGGAAAAACAAGACAAAGAGAAGGAAAAACCCAAGUAUAAUCUUCCUCGCUUAGCGGAAGUACGGUCAUGUGAAUAGCCAUGUGAGGAUUUCUUGAAAGAAGCCGGAAUUCAUGAAGACUUUUAUGCUUUAAUCGGGACUACAGUCCUCACCGAUUUCAUGAAUGACCGAAUCAAUCAGUAUCUCUUACUUACCAAUACUUUCGUGCAAAAUUUUUAUUAUUAUCCUAAGAAGUCACCGCCUGCAGUAUCAUUUCAUUUAUAUGAUGAAUUCAGAGAAAUGUCUUUACGUGAUUUUUGUGUGGUGUGUAGGAUACCUUAUGAGGGAGAAUUAGAGGAACCCCAUCGUGAAGAUGUGGAUGGUUUCGCUAAAACUAUUGCUGUAGAAGAGCCAAAGAAGGGCUCUGAGGCAAAAGUCUCUAGCAUACACUUUCCUGUUUUACGCUACUUUGCCAUAUUUGCUAGUAGAUGCUUGAUUGGUCGUGGGAAUAGUGGAAACUUGAGCGUUCUAGAUAUUAUUAUUCUUUAACAUGCUUUGCUGGGAGACAAUACUUUUAGUAUGGGUGCCGUCGUUGCUAAACGGCUAGCCCUGAAUCGUACAAAAGGCCCCAUAUUUGGAGGUAUCUAUGCUGCACAUCUUGCUGAACAUUUUCAGAUACCCAUUAGGCACCUUGAGGAGGAGGAGACAAAAUUACCUCCUCACAUUUUAGAUUACAAGAGCAUGGUAGCACACAAGUUUAUUGUUGACAACGAAGAAAAGAUGCUCUUGUAUAGACUUAGAUUCAAUGAGAAACACUUUGAGCUUAUUAUUUUGCCUGCACCUCUGUUAUUUGACUUGCUUGCAGAAAAUCGCCUUGUUACGCCGGAAGCGGUGAACAACCAUCUAGCCCAAGCUUUUACUCCAGAACCUGAACCUGAGCCGGAACCUGAGCUGGACCCUUAUCGUGCAUCAUCUGUCCAGUGGGAUCCGGAGAUGACCAGCCAGUGGUAUCCUGAUUACAUCUCCCACUACACCGGGGAGAGUAGCGGCAGUCCAUGGUAUUAGACCAACUUAGGCCAAAAGCCUAAGCUUGGGGGAGUACGUAUUUCUCACCGACUUUACAUUCAUGUUCACACACUAGUCGUCGGUGCUCACACUCUUUCAUUGUAUUAUCCAUGCUAGUUUAAAUUUCUUUUUCUAGUUUUCUUCUUGUGAGUUUGAUAAACCUGUAGAAAAAACCAAAAAAAAUUAGUUAGUUUAAUUUCCUUGCCUGUAGUAGAAAGUAAAAUGAAAACCCAAAAAUAUUUCUCGUUCUUCUUUUACUUGUUGGGAGCUUUCCCGUGUAAAUAGUUUUUUUUUAUUUUCUUUCUUUUGGGGGUCGAGAAGACUAUAUUGAAAUUGCUUAGUGGCUCUUAUAUGCAUGAUUGUUUAUUUAAUUUAGAGCCCAUAUUACUUGUCUUCUCUCUUGAGUUGAAUGCUUGCAGAUUCCGGCUUAGUCCAAUGCAUGUGCACUCUUAUUAUUAUACACAUCGUUCGGUCAUGCAAGUGAAAGGCAAUAAUGAUGAUAUAUGAUGGACUUAUUAGGAUGAGAAAAGCUGGUAUGAACUCGACCCCUUUUGUUUUUGUAAAUAUGAUGAUUCAUCGUUCCUGGAUCAGCUAUUAUGAAGUAAACAUAUUCGCAAUGACAUUUAGAGAUUAUAGUUGCUUGUGCCAUGCUUGAUUAGCUAUGAGUUAUAAUUGUUUACCUUGCGUGCCAACAUGCUAUUAGAAUGAUUAUGAUGUGGUAUGAUGGGAUGGUAUCCUCCUUUGAAUGUAUUAAGUGACUAGACUUGGCACAUAUUCACGCAUGUAGUUGAAUCAAAUCAACAUAGCCUUCAUGAUAUUUAUGUUCAUGGUAGAUUAUGUCCUACUCAUGCUUGUACUCGGUGGAAAUUAAUUUUAAUGCAUGUUUACGACUGUUGUCGCUCUCUCGGUUGGUCGCUUCCCAGUCUUUUGCUAGCCUUCACCUGUACUAAGCGGGAAUACUGCUUGUGCAUCCAAACUCCUUAAACCCCAAAGUUGUUCCAUAUGAGUCCACUAUACCUUCCUAUAUGCGGUAUUUACCUGCCGUUCCAAGUAAAUUUGUACGUGCCAAACUCUAAACCUUCAAAUGAAAUUCUGUUUUGUAUGCUCUAGCAGCUCAUGUUUCAGCUAGGGCUGCCUAUAUCUUCCAUGCUAGGUGGGUUAUUCUCAUGAGGAGUGGACUCCGCUCCUCAUUCACGAGAAAGGGCCGGUAACCGGGAUGCCUAGUCCCAUGAUCCAAAAAGAUCAAAGCAAAUCAAAAUAAUUAAACAAAACUCCCCCCCAGGGCUGUUGUAUGUUGGAGGCACUUGUUGUUUCGAGCAAGCCAUGGAUUGAUGCUUGUUGGUGGUUGGGGGAGUAUAAACCUUUACCAUUCUGUUUGGGAACUGCCUAUAAUGCAUGUAGUAUGGAAGAUACAGCCAUCUCAUAGUUGUUGUGUUGACAGUGAAAGUAUGCCGCUCAAAAUGUUAUUCAAUCUCUAUUUUUAAAAUCGUGCUCUGGCACCUCUACAAAUCCCUGCUUUCCUCUGCGAAGGGCCUAUCUAUUUACUUUUAUGUUGAGUCGUCACCCUUCUUAUUAAAAAGCACCCGCUGGAGAGCACAUUGUCAUUUGCAUUCAUUAUUAUUGGUUUAUAUUGGGUAUGACUUGACUGGAUCUCUUUUACCAUGAAUUACAAUUUUAGUCAGUCCUUGAUCUUUAAAAGUGCUCUGCAUUUAUGUUUUGCGGUCUCAGAAAGGGCUAGCGUGAUACCAUUUUGUUAUAUCAUGUUAUGAUUAUUUUGAGAAAGUGUUGUCAUCUGAGUUUUAUUAUUAUAGCUCGCUAGCUGAUUAUGUUAUUGAUAUAAGUAAUUGUGAGACCUAUGUGUUAUUGUGAGUCUGGUUAGUUCAUAAUAUUUGCUGAAACUUGAAUGCUGGCUUUUCAUGUUACAACAACAAGAGUUUGUAAAAGUUUUUCUUUAUCACUUUCAGUUUAUCAACUGAAUUGCUUGAGGACAAGCAAAUGUUUAAGCUUGGGGGAGUUGAUACGUCUCCAACGUAUCUACUUUUCCAAACACUUUUGCCCUUGUUUUGGACUCUAACUUGUAUGAUUUGAAUGAAACUAACCCGGACUGACGCUGUUUUCAGCAGAACUGCCAUGAUGUUGUUUUAUGUGUAGAACAGAAAAGUUCUCAGAAUGUCCUGGAAAUCCAUGGAGGCACUUUUCAGAAUUAAUAAGAAUUUUUGGCGAAAGAAUGAAGGCCAAGGGCCCACGAGCUGUCCACGAGACAGGCCCCCCCCCAGGGCGCGCCCUCCUAUCUCGUGGGCCCCCUGGACACCUCCCGACCUCAACUCCAACUCCAUAUAUACCGUCUCGGGGAGAAAAAAAUCAAGGAGAAAGUUUCAUCGCGUUUUACGACACGGAGCCGCCGCCAAGCCCUAAUUUCUCUCGGGAGGGCUGAUCUGGAGUCCGUUCUUGGCUUCGGAGAGGGGGAUUCGUCGCCGUCGUCAUCAUCAACCAUCCUCCAUCACCAAUUUCAUGAUGCUCACCGCCGUGUGUGAGUAAUUCCAUCGUAGGCUUGCUGGACGGUGAUGGGUUGGAUGAGAUUUACCAUGUAAUCAAGUUAGUUUUGUUAGGGUUUGAUCCCUAGUAUCCACUAUGUUCUGAGAUUGAUGUUGCUAUGAAUUUUCUAUGCUUAAUGCUUGUCAGGGCCCAUGUGCCAUGAUUUCAGAUCUGAACCUAUUAUGUUUUCAUGAAUAUAUGUGUGUUCUUGAUCCUAUCUUGCAAGUCUAUAGUCACCUAUUAUGUGUUAUGAUCCGACAACCCCGAAGUGACAAUAAUCGGGAUACUUCUCGGUGAUGACCGUAGUUUGAGGAGUUCAUGUAUUCACUAUGUGCUAAUGCUUUGUUCCGGUUCUCUAUUAAAAGGAGGCCUUAAUAUCCCUUAGUUUCCGCUAGGACCCCGCUGCCACGGGAGGGUAGGACAAAAGAUGUCAUGCAAGUUCUUUUCCAUAAGCACGUAUGACUAUUUACGGAAUACAUGCCUACAUUACAUUGAUGAACUGGAGCUAGUUCUAUAUCACCCUAUGUUAUAACUAUUGCAUGAGGAAUCGCAUCCGGCAUAAUUAUCCAUCAUUGAUCCAUUGCCUAUGAGCUUUUCAUAUAUUGUUCUUCACUUAUUUACUUUUUCGUUGGUACUGUUACAAUUACUACAAAAACCCAAAAAUAUUUAUCUUUACUUUUGCUACCGCUACUAUUAUUGUCAUACCACUUUUGCUAGUAAACACUUUGCUGCAGAUACUAAGUUAUCAAGGUGUGGUUGAAUUGACAACUCAACUGCUAAUACUCAAGAAUAUUCUUUGGCUCCCCUUGUGUCGAAUCAAUAAAUUUAGGUUGAAUACUCUACCCUCGAAAGCUGUUGCGAUCCCCUAUACUUGUGGGUUAUCAAUGCUAUUGGAAAGAUGCCAUGUCCCAAGGACACCAAAGUUAUAAGAAGUUUCCUUGGCAAUGCCGGAUUUUAUAGGAGGUUCAUUAAGGACUUCUCAAAAAUUCCUCGGCCUCUGACUAAUUUAUUACAAAAAGAUAUACCAUUUGUCUUUGAUGAUGAUUGUGUAGAAGCAUUUGAAAUACUUAAGAAAGCAUUGAUCUCUGCACCUAUUGUUCAGCCACCUGAUUGGAAUUUACCCUUCGAAAUUAUGUGUGAUGCUAGAGAUUAUGUCGUAGGUGCUGUUCUAGGGCAAAGAGUUGAUAAGAAAUUAAAUGUUAUUCAAUAUGCUAGUAAAACUCUAGACAAUGCUCAGAGAAAUUAUACUACUACUGAAAAACAAUUCUUAGCAGUUGUAUUUGCUUGUGAUAAGUUCAGACCUUAUAUUGUUGAUUCUAAAGUAACUAUUCACACGGAUCAUGCUGCUAUUAAAUAUCUUAUGGAAAAGAAAGAUGCUAAACCUAGACUCAUUAGAUGGGUUCUCUUGCUACACGAAUUUGAUUUACAUAUUGUUGAUAGAAAGGGAGCUGAGAACCCCGUUGCAGACAACUUGUCUAGGUUAGAAAAUGUUCUUGAUGACCCACUAUCUAUUAAUGAUAGCUUUACCGAUGAGCAAUUAAAUGUUAUAAAUGCCUCUCGUAGUACUCCGUGGUAUGCUGAUUAUGCUAAUUACAUUGUUGCUAAAUUUAUACCACCUAGUUUCACAUACCAGCAAAAGAAAAAGUUUUUCUAUGAUUUGAGGCAUUACUUUUGGGAUGACCCACAUCUUUAUAAAGAAGGAGUAGAUGGUGUUAUUAGACGUUGUGUACCUGAGCAUGAACAGGAACAGAUCCUACGCAAGUGUCACUCCGAGGCUUAUGGAGGGCACCACGCUGGAGAUAGAACUGCACAUAAGGUAUUGCAAUCCGGUUUUUAUUGGCCUACUCUCUUUAAGGAUGCCCGUAAGUUUGUCUUAUCUUGUGAUGAAUGCCAAAGAAUUGGUAAUAUUAGUAGACGUCAAGAAAUGCCUAUGAAUUAUUCACUUGUUAUUGAACCAUUUGAUGUUUGGGGCUUUGAUUAUAUGGGACCUUUCCCUGCCUCUAAUGGAUAUACACAUAUUUUAGUUGCUGUUGAUUACGUUACUAAGUGGGUAGAAGCUAUUCCAACUAGUUGUGCUGAUCAUAACACUUCUAUUAAGAUGCUUAAAGAAGUUAUUUUUCCGAGGUUUGGAGUCCCUAGAUAUUUAAUGACUGAUGGUGGUUCACAUUUUAUCCAUGGUGCUUUCCGUAAAAUGCUUGCUAAGUAUGAUGUUAACCAUAGAAUUGCAUCUCCUUAUCACCCACAGUCUAGUGGUCAAAUAGAAUUGAGUAAUAGAGAGCUCAAAUUAAUUUUGCAAAAGACUGUUAAUAGAUCUAGAAAAAUUGGUCCAAGAAACUUGAUGAUGCAUUAUGGGCCUAUAGAACUGCAUAUAAAUAUCCUAUGGUAUGUCUCCAUAUAAAAUGGUUUAUGGAAAAGCAUGUCACUUACCUCUCGAACUAGAACAUAAGGCAUAUUGGGCUAUUAAAGAGCUCAACUAUGAUUUCAAACUUGCUGGUGAGAAGAGGCUAUUUGAUAUUAUCUCACAUGAUGAAUGGAGAACUCAAGCUUAUGAAAAUGCCAAGUUGUUUAAAGAAAAAGUUAAAAGAUGGCAUGACAAAAGGAUACAAAAGCGGGAGUUUAAUGUAGGCGAUUAUGUAUUGCUAUACAACUCUCGUUUAAGAUUUUUUGCAGGAAAACUUCUCUCUAAAUGGGAAGGUCCCUACGUUACCGAGGGGGUAUAUUGUUCUGGUGCCAUAAAAAUCAACAACUUCGAAGGUACAAAUCCGAAGGUGGUGAAUGGUCAAAGAAUCAAACAUUAUAUCUCGGGCAAUCCCAUAAAUGUUGAAACCAAUUUUAUAGAAACCAUAACCCCGGAGGAAUACAUAAGGGACACUUUCCGGAAUGUUUCAGACUCCGAAAAGGAAUAGGUAUGUGGUACGGUAAGUAAACCGACUCCAAAACAGUUUUUAAGGCAAUAUUUCUCCGUUUUGGAAUAUUUAGAAAAAUAGAAAAAUAAGAAGCAGUUUGGGAAGGACACGAGGGCUCCACGAGGGUGGAGGGCACGCCCUACCCCCUGGGCGCGCCCCCCUACCUCAUGGGCACCUUGUGUGCUCUCCGGACUCCGUUUUCUUGCACGAUACGUAUUUUGGUUGGUAAAAAUUCAUUAGAUAACCUCUCGAAGGUUUUGACUCCCAUAUCACGCAAUUACCCUCUAUUCUUAUUUCGAGCUAUUUUCUGUCAGGGUUGUCAAGGCCAGGCAUCAUGUCGUCCCCCUCCUCUAACAAUGGUGAUAAUGAUGCUUGGCUAAUGAAGAUAGCAGGGGCGGACGCACGUUGAGUGCUGUGGGGGCAACUGCCCCCACUCAAUUUUUCAUGUACGCUAUAUGGAUCCUCUGCCUAGCUUCGUGUGCCCCCGCUUGGCCCAUUAUGUUGCCCCCACUCAGCCCACUUUGUUGUUUUUUUGCAAAGCCCAUCGUACUAUAAAUCUGUAGGAGCAGCCCACAUCCUAGAAAGAACAACCUACGAUUGCAAAACUCGAUUUACCUUAAAGAAAACAAUCGCAAAACUCGACUUGAUCGAACCCUUUAGCCCUACUUCACGCACGGGACGCAGACAUCCACGUUCUCCAAAAAAAUGAAUCCAAGACGCAGGAAUCGUGCAACCGGCGGCUCGCCGCCAGCAAUCAACAUCAGCGACUUGCCUUUCUGGCCCUCGUGGCCUUGCAAGACGAUGCUGCAGCACAGCCCGAUCACCAGUUCUACAAUUUUUUCUCUCAAUCUAAUUGGCAUCGAGGUAAGCGGUAUGGGUCAUCUAGGGUUUUCUUGUUUUAAUUUUUUGUUCGCUUGCAAUUUUUAUAUAUGUUAAAAAUCAUGUUAGUCUGAUCAAUUUGUGUGUAUAGAGAUUUUCCGAUUUAAGUGACUAGAUCUAUCCAAACAAUUUUUGUAUAACCUGCAAAUUUUAAUGUGCUACUUUUUACUUACAAGUAAAAUUGUCUAGUCUGAAUCGAUACGCUCAAAUUUGAUUUGGAUCAUGUGUUAUACCUAGUUCCUAGAACACUUCAUCUUCAGGUAUGAUGUUUGGCAAUUCGAGGAUUCAUUUAAAGUUUUAGUUGAUGGCACUUAAAUGUGCAGGAAAGCUAAUGGUGAGGUUUUUUCAAGAAUUAACAACCUUGAUGCUUGAUUCGAACAAACUUCCCGGGGUCCAUCCAAAAGCAAGAGGAUUGCAGAUUUGAUAGUCUAUAGACUUAUAAAGCUAUCACUUCUCAGCUAUGAAGAUUCUGGAGAAUGCUCUACGUAAGGAAAUUAAUGAUAUUUUAUAAACCAUAACUAUGUCAGCUUUGUAGAAAAUGAAUUGUUGAACAAAAUUUAUAAUUUAGUGUAAGUCAAAUGUUUUCAUGAGGUGAAGAUCACCGUGGGACAGAAGGAAAUUAGUGUGCUAAAGCUCUUUUCUUUUUUAAUACCGAUAUCCUUCAACGUUUUAAUUCUAUCCUCAUUUGAUUUUUCUCUCCCUUGCAGGUUAUAGGUUAUGUUGUUAGAAAAAUGUGUCAAUGUCCCCUAUAGCAACUUCGGAAUAAGGUACUGACAUAUUGAUGCAAGUCAUUUUGCUUCGCAUCAUUACUUUUCUUUCACUUUACAAUGAGCUUGGUUAUCGUGUGGAGAAUGAACUAGUUAUAUUGUGCCCAUAUUUUAGUUUAUAUGGGUGUUUGUCUUGUUGAUUCACGAAUAUGGCCAUGAAUUAUUGCCCCCUCUCAAGUUUUUUUACUGGGUCCGCCCCUGGAAGAUAGAGCUGAAGAGGGAAGAACCCAUGGAGAUCAACAAAGAUGAAGGGAUCAAGAAGGCAAUGGAGGAUCAAGCUCCGGCAGCAGAAGACAUCCUUCAACUUGAUCGUAAUCUUCUUACCCCAACAGAGAUUGAAGCUUUCAAGAUGAUUGAGUUAGCUCGUAUACAGAACAAGUAUCUCACACGUGAAAAUAUUUUGUUGAAGGAGCAUACCAUUGCACUCAAGGGCAUUAUCCGCAAGCUGGAGGACCUCCUACGCUCGAUGUGCGACUAUCCUUCAUCACCACCAUCCUCUUCACCAGCAAAGGAGACAUAAUCACAUGGGUAUGGGCACUCCCCUUGGCAACUGCCAAGCUUGGGGGAGGUGCCCCGGUAUUGUAUCACCAUCACACUCCUAUCUUUACCGUUUUUCUUAGUUCGAUCCUAUUAGUAGUAUCUUGAUCUAGUAGAAUAAAGUUUUGGUAUGAUCUAGUUUUGAGUUUUGCUUUAUGAUCUCUCUUUGUAAUCGAGUCCGUGAGCUAUAUAAUAAAGAUUAGUGUUGAGUAAAGGGCUUGAUUAUUUUGCCAUGAUCUUGAGUGAAUAAAAGAAAAGAGAAAAAGAAUAAAAAGAGAUAAAGAGUUCAUAUUGAUCUUAUCGAGAGUAAUGACUUCACAUAGAAAGAGUAUGAUGAUUAAAAGUUGUUGGGAGUUGGCAAACAUAGCUUUGGUCAUCCUUGCAAUUAAUAGGAAGUAAUUAGGAAAGAGAGGUUUCACAUAUAAAUAUAUUAUCAUUGACAUAUUUUAUGAUUGGGAGCACUCAUUAAAAUAUGACAUGCUAAAGAGUUGACGUUGGACAAAGAAGACAACGUAAUGGGUUAUGUUUUCUUAUAUCUGAGAUAAAGUAUAUUAUCAUGGAUCAUCCAACAUGUUGAGCUUGCCUUUCCCCCUCAUGCUAGCCAAAUUCUUAAUUAGCACUAAGUAGAGAUACUACUUGUGCUUCCAAAAACCCUUAAACCAGUUUUGCCAUGAGAGUCCACCAUACCUACCUAUGGAUUGAGUAAGAUCCUUCAAGUAAGUUGUCAUCGGUGCAAGCAAUAAAAAUUGCUCUCUAAAUAUGUAUGACUUAUUAGUGUGGGAGAAAAUAAGCUUUAUACGAUCUUGUGAUGUGGAAGAAAUAAAAGCGACAGACUGCAUAAUAAAGGUUCAUAUCACAAGGGGCAAUAUAAAGUGACGUUCUUUCACAUUAAGAUUUUGUGCAUCCAACCAUAAAAGCGCAUGGCAACCUCUGCUUCCCUCUGCGAAGGGCCUAUCUUUUAUUAUUAUCUUCUACCUUAUGCAAGAGUCAUGGUGAUCUUCACCUUUCCUUUUUACAUUUUAUCCUUUGGCAAGCACAGGGUGUUGGAAAGAUCCUGAUAGAUAUAUCUAAUUGGAUGUAGGGCAGCAUGAGUUAUUAUUGUUGACAUUACCCUUGAGGUAAAAGGUUGGGAGGCGAAACUAUAAGCCCCUGUCUUUCUCUGUGUCCGACUAAAACUCCGUAACCACAAGUAUUGCGUGAGUGUUAGCAAUUAUGAAAGACUAAAUGAUAGUUGAGUAUGUGGACUUGCUAGAAAGCUCUGACAUAGACUCUUUUUGAUGUUAUGAUAAAUUGCAAUUGCUUCAAUGACUGAGAUUAUAGUUUGUUGGUUCUCAAUAAAGUUUAUGAUUCGUACUUUGGCAUUGUGAAUAGAUUAUUACUUGAGCAUAAGAAAUCAUAUGACAAUAUCCAUAUAUGCUGCUGUUAUGAGAAUAAUCAUGAUGGCCUCAUGUCCAUAUUUUAUUUUAUCGACACCUCUACCUCUAAACAUGUGGACAUAUUUAUCGUUAUCGGCUUCCGCUUGAGGACAAGCGAGGUCUAAGCUUGGGGGAGUUGAUACGUCCAUUUUGCAUCAUGCUUUUAUAUUGAUAUUUAUUGCAUUAUGGGCUGUUAUUACUCGUUAUGUCACAAUACUUAUGCCUAUUCUCUCUUAUUUUACAAGGUUUACAUAAGGAGGGAGAAUGCCGGCAGCUGGAAUUCUGGGCUGGAAAAGGAGCAAAUAUUAGAGACCUAUUCUGCACAACUCCAAAAGUCCUGAAACUCCAUGAAAGUCAUUUUUGGAAAUAAUAAAAAAUAUUGAGCGGAAGAAGUACAUCAGAGGGGGGCCCACCUGGCCACGAGGGUGGGGGCGUGCCCCCUGACUCGUGGACCCCCUGUUGGCCCUCCCGUGGCCAUCUUCUGCUAUAUGAGGUCUUUCGUCGAGGAAAAAAUCAUAAGCAACCUUUCGGGAUGAGACUCCGCCGCCACGAGGCGGAACCUUGGCGGAACCAAUCUAGGGCUUCGGCAGAGCUGUUCUGCCGGGGACACUUCCCUCCGGGAGGGGGAAAUCAUCGCCAUCGUCAUCACCAACGCUCCUCUCGUCGGGAGAGGGCAAUCUCCAUCAACAUCUUCACCAGCACCAUCUCCUCUCAAAACCCUAGUUCAUCUCUUGUAUACAAUUCUUCUCUCCAAGUCUGGGAUUGGUACUAGUAGGUUGCUAGUAGUGUUAAUUACUCCUUGUAGUUGAUGCUAGUUGGUUUAUUUGGUGGAAGAUCAUAUGUUCAGAUCCUUUAUGCAUAUUAAUACCCCUCUAAUUAUGAACAUGAAUAUGCUUUGUGAGUAGUUACGUUUGUUCCUGAGGACAUGGGAGAAGUCUUGCUAUAUAUUAGUAGUCAUGUGAAUUUGGUAUUCGUUCGAUAUUUUGAUGAGAUGUAUGUUGUCUAGCCUCUAGUGGUGUUAUGUGAACGUCGACUACAUAACACUUCACCAUUAUUUGGGCCUAGAGGAAGGCAUUGGGAAGUAAAAGUAGAUGAUGGGUUGCUAGAUUGACAGAAGCUUAAACCCUAGUUUAUGCGUUGCUUCGUAAGGGGCUGAUUUGGAUUCAUAUGUUUCAUGCUAUGGUUAGGUUUACCUUAAUACUUUUGUUGUAGUUGAGGAUACUUGCAAUAGAGGUUAAUCAUAAGUGGGAUGCUUGUUCAAGUAAGAACAGCACCCAAGCACCGGUCCACCCACAUAUCAAAUUAUCAAAGUACCGAAUGUGAAUCAUGUGAACGUGAUGAAAACUAGCUUGACGAUAUUCCCAUGUGUCCUCGGGAGCGCCUUCCUUCAUAUAAGAGUUUGUCCAGGCUUGUCAUUUGCUACAAAAAGGAUUGGGCCACCUUGCUGCACUUUAUUUACUUUUGUUACUUGUUGCUCGUUACAAAUUAUCUUAUCACAAAACUAUCUGUUACUACUUAUUUCAGUGCUUGCGGAGAAUACCUUGCUGAAAACCGCUUAUCAUUUCCUUCUGCUCCUCGUUGGGUUCGACACUCUUACUUAUCGAAAGGACUACGAUUGAUCCCCUAUACUUGUGGGUCAUCACCUCACCUAGGCUUCGGCCCACCCGACCAGCCGACCCAGCUAGGCCGGCCCGCUCCCCCUCCCNNNNNNNNNNNNNNNNNNNNNNNNNNNNNNNNNNNNNNNNNNNNNNNNNNNNNNNNNNNNNNNNNNNNNNNNNNNNNNNNNNNNNNNNNNNNNNNNNNNNNNNNNNNNNNNNNNNNNNNNNNNNNNNNNNNNNNNNNNNNNNNNNNNNNNNNNNNNNNNNNNNNNNNNNNNNNNNNNNNNNNNNNNNNNNNNNNNNNNNNNNNNNNNNNNNNNNNNNNNNNNNNNNNNNNNNNNNNNNNNNNNNNNNNNNNNNNNNNNNNNNNNNNNNNNNNNNNNNNNNNNNNNNNNNNNNNNNNNNNNNNNNNNNNNNNNNNNNNNNNNGGCGAGGGGAUAAGGGCAGCCCCGACGCCUCGGGCUCCCUACCCACUCGCCCACUUGCCCCCUCUCUCCCUCGCUCUCCAGAUCCCCUCCCCUCCUCAACCGAGCCCAUCGCCGCCGCGUCUUUGUCAUCUCUGCGGCCACCGUGCCUUCGACGCGGCCUGGCUGUGCUCGUCAGCAUCGCCGUGGACUCCCGCAUCUUUUGGAGCCACUGGAAGGAGUCGAGGAGCUCUGCAUCGCCGGCCACGUCGUCGUCUUCCUCGGGUCACCGGCGAUCCCCUUCUUCCCCGACGAUGUUCUGCUGCUCCUAAGCAUUCACGGGGCCACCCUGUGCCUGCUAGGUGAGCCUCCGCGUCGCUCCCUUCCCUCUCUUUCACGCUCUAGUGCGCUCCAUCAUUGUCCCCGCGGAGGUGAACUCCGCCGCCCGCCAUGGCCGUCGCCCGCGCGUCGUGCGCGCUCCCGAGCCCCAUCGCAAGUCACUGGCGUGCUCCAGGACGCGCGCAGCACCCAGACGCAGCCCCAACCGCACCCCUAGGCCGCUCCAGCCACGUUUCAAACGAGGCUCGAACACCACCGCGCCACGGCUUGUCGCCGGCGCCACUCCGGCCAUCCCCGCCCCUGUUGCUUGCUCCAUCGGACACGCCACAUCGCCAGCUAGCUGUGGCCGCAAACCGCGCACGUUUUGGUGCCCCGUAGCGUUUUUCCGGCCGUCUCCGGCGAUGAGCCGCCGCGGGAGAGGCUCGCCGGAGCUCUCUCUGGCGCCCCGCCUACGUGGACGGCCUGGGGCCACCACCUGGGUCGCUGACCUGUGGGCCCCAGGGGCCCGGCCUGCCUGUUGACCCGGUCCACCAUGCUGACUGGACCGGCCCAUGCAACUGAAAGAUGGGGCUCACACCCCCCUAAUUAACAAAGUUAAUUAAGCUAAUUUAAUUAACCUAAUUAGAGAGUGACAGGUGGGCCCCUUCUAAUUAAUUAACUUAGUUAGUUUAAGUUAACCUCUGUUAGCCCUACCGUCUAUGAAAGAUGGGACCCACUGGUCAGUUUGAGCAGUCAGCGGGUCUGUGACCUGCUGAUGUCAUGCUGACACUCUGCUGACAUCAUAUUUUCCUUUUGUGUUAUUUUAAAUAAUUUCAGAAUAUGCUUUAAUCUUUGAAAAAUCAUAGAAAAUAAAUCGUACCUCGGAUGAAAAUGUUUUCUAUAUGAAAGUUGCUCAGAAAAAUCCAACGAAUCCGAAUACACGGUCCGUUCAUCUGUCACAUGCCCCUAGCAUGCUGAACAUGGGACAUUCCCCCUCUGGUCAUUUGUCUGACACAGGUCCGGAACCGGGAAAACAUUCCCGGUUGAAUCCCCCCUUCACCUAUAUAGUGUAGCCAUACGUUACGUCACUCCCGGCACAACAUAUUGCCACGUUAUGCUUUCUGAUGCUAUGUUUGCUUUAUACUUACUGUUUCUUCCCCCUCUUCUCUCCGGUAGACCCCGAGACCGAUGCCGCCCCUGUGAUCGACUACGUCGACGACGACCCCUCCUUGCCAGAGCAACCAGGCAAGCCCCCCCUUUGAUCAUCCUGAUAUCGCCCAUUCCAUUCUCUCAUGCUUGCAUUAGAUUUUGCUACUGUAAUUGUUUGCUCCUAUUCUGAUGCAUAGCCUGCGUUUGUAUCUGUUGUUGUACCUUACCUGCUUAUCCUAAACUGCUUAGUAUAGGUUGGUUAGUGAUCCAUCAGUGACCCCCACCUUGUCAUUGUUGCCCCUUCUUCAUCAUUGAAGACCCGAUCAACGGGAUCGAACACCAGGCCCCGGCACCGCACAUCACUUUCCCCUUAGUUGCUGGACACUAAUGGGUUACUAUCGAGUGCCGAGGGUGAGACCGCUUCAGCACUUCUGAUGUUAACAUGUAGUGUAGCUAUUCAGUCGUGGUCAUCGAGGGUGAUUUCCUCCUUAACCACUUCCGAUACGGCUCUGUCGUUCAACCCCUCAAGUGUCAACCUCGAGGGUGGAUCCUCUUACGUUCACCUUGAUGAUUACAUCGAGUGGAAUUCACCGGGGGUGAUUCCUCGGGUUUUCCCCUUAAUGUUUGGACACACGGAUACUUGGACUUUACAACUGUUACUUGGAAAGGCGGGUCGACCCUGAGGGGUACCCGCGAGUGAUGUGGGGUCGGGUUGACCUGGAAGGUGCCCGCGAGAUAAUUACGAGGCGUGGUCGGGCAUUCCUAGCCCUUGCCGCAAGUCCUCGAGACGGGGCAACGGGGUCACAUAUCGUGAGUCUCUACUUGUUACCGCGUGCUCCUAAUCCACUAUGAUUUGGAUAUUUGAUCCGAGGGGCCUCUGGCCUGAUAGCACUAACCAUCACGUGGGCAUAGUAUGGGUGUUCUACGUCAUAUGCAUCAGCCGAAGCUUAAUAGAUGUCAGCGACUGAGCGGCGCGCGCCGGGUUGGACUGCGUAAGCACCUGCCUUGUUGAAGGAGGUAGCUAGGUCUGCUCACCCGCCGCCCAUGCAACAUGCAGGAGUUCCUAGGGAGAUGGCCCAUGACCCCUAGGGGCAUAUGUUUAGUCCGGCGUGCUGACCUCUCUAUUAAGCCUAGGUCGGGUUGCGGCGUAUUGUUUGGCCGAGGCCGGGCAUGACCCAGGAAAGUGUGUCCGGCCGGAGUUAAUCGAGCGUGGUGGGUAAGUUGGUGCACCCCUGCAGGGAAGAAAACAUCUAUCGAUAGCCUGUCCUGUGGUAACGGACACUUGGAGUUGUAUCCCGAUCGAUACAACUAGAACUAGAUACUUGUGAUGAGUAAUGGAUUGUGAUGAUAACUAGAUAGUAUGGCUCUAGGAUUGCUUUCUCGCAGGGAGUCGAGAAAGGAUCUCUGGCCGAGGUUGAUAACACUGCUACUACUUUACUUUAUGCUACUCUUAUCUCUUAUGAUGCUGCGAGAUGCUUGAAGAUGCUGAAGAUGCUAGUCUUCGAUAGUACUAGGCCUUCUCUCUAUUCUGGCAUUUCUGCAGCCCAGUCCACAUAUACAGCCUUCCUUUGAUAAUGUUGCAUAUGUAGUGUAGAUACUUUCUUGCGAGUACUUUGGAUGAGUACUCACGGUUGCUUUGCUCCCCCUUUUCCCCCUUUUUUCUCCUUUCCGGUUGGUGCAACCAGAUGUCGGAGCCCAGGAGCCAGAUGCCACCGCCGAUGCCUACUAAUGCGUGGAGGCCCCCGACGACCAGGAGUAGUUAGGAGGCUCCCAGGCAGGAGGCCUUGCCUUUUCAAUCGUAGAUGCUUUUGUGCUGGCCUUCUUAAGGAAAACUUGUCUAACUUAUGUCUGUACUUAGAUAUUGUUGCUUCCGCUGACUCUUGUAAAAUCGAGCUUAUGUAUUCGAACCCUCGAGGCCCCUGGCUUGUAAUAUAAAGCUUGUAUUGUGUUUAAUUUGUGUCAAGGGAUCCUUCUAUAGCGUACCCAUGGAGCAUAAUAGAGUAUGAGAUUGUAUCUCGUUUUUGGCCAUUCACGGCCAUGGAAUAAAAUAUUUCCUUAGCUUCUUUGAUUCUUCCAUGCUUGCAAAGGUAGUCCAUGACUGAGCUGCAAGUAACAACGUUUGGCAUACUACCUCGGCUUCUCAUUACUUUCAACAACCUAAAGGCUUCUUUCAGCUGACCCGAAGUUAAAAAUCCAUGGAUCAGGGUAUUAUAUAUCCUAACAUGUGGUUGGACACCAUUAUGAACCAUUGAUCAAAGAACUACCUCUGCCGUGUCCAUUGCUCUUGCUUUGCAUAGCGCAUCGAUAAAGGAGUUAUACGUCACCACAUCAGGCACAACCCCCUGCUGCAUCAUUUCAGGGAGCAAAUUGCAUGCUUUGCUUAUUUCACCCUCCUUCAAGAAGCCAUCGAUUACCAAGCUGUAUAACACCACGCUGGGAGAGUGGUCAGAUCCUUUUUCGGCCAUCAUCCGGAGCAAGUCAAGUGCAAGCUGGCUCCUACCACUGUCGCAGAAACUCUUGAGAAUUACUGAGUAGGAGAUGACAUUAGGCAGGUCGUCGGGCAUCCUGUGGAGCAGCACGCCCAAAGCGUCCUCCAUUCGCUUCAUGUCACAGAGGCACUUGAGUAAGCUGCUGUAGGUAACGACAUCCGUCUUGAUGCCUGUCUUGAGGAGGCGGCCGAAGAAGGCAGGCCCUAGGUCUGGGCGGCAUGCUCGGUGGCAACACUCAAUUAGUAUGUUGUAGGUGUACAUGGAGGGUGCUAGCACCUGGCGACGGCCUGCUCGGGCCAUGCGGUUGAAGAGAUCAAUGGCGAGGGCAGGGCCAUCGGUGCAGGCAGGUGAGGCCGGCGCACGCGCGAGGGCAGCAAAUAAGUCGUUGAGUGCAUGUACUGAUACUGUGACAGGUUGGUGCAGCAUUUCGUCGAACAGUUGGUGCGCGAGCUCUGGCCUGAGUGUCCCGAAGCCAAGAUGGUCGUGGAGUUCGUUCAGCAGCUCGUUGGCGCAUGAGGAAACGGAGCUGGAGAAAGAGCGGACCUGAAGGCGUGACAUCGUCGCCGUCUAUGUAAUGCCCCGGAUCCGAUGCGCCAGGUGUCUGUCAGUUAUUCGCCGUCAUUGCCAUGUCAUUUGCUUGUGUGUUGCAUUUUAUCAUGUCAUCAUGUGCAUCUCAUUUUGCAUACGUGUUCGUCUCAUGCAUCCGAGCAUUUUUCCCAUUGUCCGUUUUGCAAUCCGGCACUCCUAUGUCCUCCGUUGUCCCCCUAUUGUCUCUUGUUGUGAGCGGGUGUUAAACAUUCUCGGAAUGGACCGUGAUUUGCCAAGCGGCCUUGGUACACCACCGGUAGACCGCCUGUCAAGUUUUGUUCCAUUUGGAGGUCGUUUGAUGCUCCAACGGUUAACCGCGUAGCCCGAACCCCCUUCUUUUGUGCAACCCAACACCCCUCCAAAGUGGCCCAAUAAACCAUCCAAACCCCCUCCAUGCUCUCGGUCAUUCGAUCACGAUCGUGUGGGCGAAAACCGCUCUCCAUUUGGAGUCUCCUAGCUCCCUCUACCUAUAAAUAUGUGCAUCUCUCCCAAAAAUCCCGCAGUCCAAACCCUAGCUUCUUCCUCCUCCCGCCGCCGGACAUGUCCGCGUCGCCGCCGGACACAUACAGCCGCCGCCUCAGUGAAUCGCGUNNNNNNNNNNNNNNNNNNNNNNNNNNNNNNNNNNNNNNNNNNNNNNNNNNNNNNNNNNNNNNNNNNNNNNNNNNNNNNNNNNNNNNNNNNNNNNNNNNNNNNNNNNNNNNNNNNNNNNNNNNNNNNNNNNNNNNNNNNNNNNNNNNNNNNNNNNNNNNNNNNNNNNNNNNNNNNNNNNNNNNNNNNNNNNNNNNNNNNNNNNNNNNNNNNNNNNNNNNNNNNNNNNNNNNNNNNNNNNNNNNNNNNNNNNNNNNNNNNNNNNNNNNNNNNNNNNNNNNNNNNNNNNNNNNNNNNNNNNNNNNNNNNNNNNNNNNNNNNNNNNNNNNNNNNNNNNNNNNNNNNNNNNNNNNNNNNNNNNNNNNNNNNNNNNNNNNNNNNNNNNNNNNNNNNNNNNNNNNNNNNNNNNNNNNNNNNNNNNNNNNNNNNNNNNNNNNNNNNNNNNNNNNNNNNNNNNNNNNNNNNNNNNNNNNNNNNCCUCCGCCCGGCCGCCGGCGCCGCCCGAGCUCGCUGCCGCGCCGGUGCGCUGCCGUUGCCUCCGCCCCGCCGCCCGGUGCCGCCUCCCUACCCAGCCGGCCCUCCUUCUUCCGGAUCCGGCCCUGGGAGCUCUGGCCGCCCUGGAUCCGCCCAUCCCCGGCGUCUCCCUCCUCUCCGGCGAGCUCUCCGACGAGAUCCGGCCCUGCCUCGACUUCCGUGCCAAAUUCAACCCUAGAUCCGAAGGGUAAAAUAUCACUAAGUCCUUUUCUCUGUAACAUUUUAUGCCUCUGUUCAUUGCAUCAUAACUCCGCAUCCGUAGCUCCGUUUCAUGCGCAUGAUAUAUUAAAUUGUUCAUCAUGAGAUUCUAUUAAUUUCAUUCCAUUGUGCCAUGUUUGUUUGAGUUCAUCUUGAUGCCAUAAUCAUCGUUGCAAGAGUGCUAUAUGAUAUUAAAUGUUGUCUGUUAACAGAACUUGAUGAUUUGUCUUUUUCGUUGCAUUUUUUGUGUGCAUCCUAUGAGCGUGAGCUCUACAUGUGUUUUGUGCUACAUCAUGCCAUCUUUACAGUGGUGCAAUCCAUGUAUUUUGUGAGUCUUUUACUGAGUGCAUCAAGCUCGUGAAGUAGGGUACUUGCUGUUGCUGUUUUGUUAGUCUGAAUCUGCUAUAUCAUGAUGCUAUGUAAACCUGCUCCUACAAGUCAUUCUAUACAUAAUCUGGAGAUGUUCAUUAAGGAUGUUUUGUUAUACAUGCCAUGCUCUAUCCAUCCAUGUUCCUGGUUGCAUUUAUAGCCUGCUGUAGCUUGUUAUUAUCUUGCUCUCAAACUUGCCAAAUAAUGUUGCUGUCAGCCUGUUAACAUUAAGUUCAAUGUUGCCAUGGUUGUUGUUAGUGAUCCACGAACCCUAUAAACUUGCUCUUGCCAUGCUUAGCUUCAUAAACAUGUCUUCUUAUUGUUGGUUACAUUGGCAUGCCAUGUAUUGCUCUGUCGUGAGUGGUAUAAGCUCACCAACAUGCCUACUUAUUGUUGUUCCUGCCAUGUAUGAAUCUGUCAUAUCAUUUGCCAUGUUUGCAUGGAUGAUUCCAUCUUUUAUGUUGAUCUUUAGAAUUAGUUCAGUAAGGGAGUUUUGUUCUUUGUAUUUAGUAUUAACAUGCCAUGCCUUUUUUUGCCAUGAUAAGUUCCUGUAACAUGUUGUUUGAUAGUCCUAAACAUUGCAACCUGAUGUUACUUCUGCCAAGUCUGAAACUGUUAUUAUUUGCAAUCUUGCCAUGUCCUUUUGAGCAUGUUAUAGUGUUUUAUGGACAUAGCUAAGUAUUCAUGUUUUGUCAUGCUUUACCUGUACUUCAUGCCCAUGCCUUUGGUUUUCACGUUGAGAUGCUGUAGCAUAUUUUUUUGAUGCUUGCUAGAUGCCUUGUUGCCGUUUUGGAUAGCUUCAUCCGUUCGUCUGCUUCAUGGACUCGUUCUUCUUCCUAGCGGGAUUUCAGGCAAGAUGAUCGUCACCUUUGAUCUCAUUACUAUCAUUGCUAUGCUAGUUGCUUCGUUCUAUCGCUAUUCCGCGCUUCCUAUCACUUGUUCUUCAAGCCUCCCCAAAUUGCCUUGAACCUCUAACCUUUGUCACCCUUCCUAGCAAACCGUUGUUUGGCUAUGUUACCGCUUUUUCUUAGCCCCUCUUAUAGCGUUGCUAGUUGCAGGUGAAGAUGAAGAUUGCUCCAUGUUGGUUUAUGUUUAUGUUGGGAUAUCACAAUAUCUCUUAUAUUAUUAAUGCAUCUAUAUACUUGGUAAAGGGUGGAAGGCUUGGCCUUAUGCCUGGUGUUUUGUUCCACUCUUGCUGCCCUAGUUUCCGUCAUAUCGGUAUUAUGUGAAGGAAAUAUGCCCUAGAGGCAAUAAUAAAGUUAUUAUUUAUUUCCUCAUAUCAUGAUAAAUGUUUAUUAUUCAUGCUAGAAUUGUAUUAACCGGAAAGAUGAUACAUGUGUGAAUACAUAGACAAACAUAUAGUCACUAGUAUGCCUCUACUUGACUAGCUCAUUAAUCAAAGAUGGUUAUGUUUCCUAACCAUAGACAUGUGUUGUCAUUUGAUUAAUGGGAUCACAUCAUUAGGAGAAUGAUGUGAUUGACAUGACCCAUUCCGUUAGCCUAUCACUUGAUCGUUUAGUAUGUUGCUAUUGCUUUCUUCAUGAGUUAUACAUGUUCCUGUAACUAUGAGAUUAUGCAACUCCCGUUUAUCGGAGGAACACUUCGGGUGCUACCAAACGUCACAACGUAACUGGGUGAUUAUAAAGGAGUACUACAGGUGUCUCCAAAGGUACAUGUUGGGUUGGCGUAUUUCGAGAUUAGGUUUUGUCACUCCGAUUGUCGGAGAGGUAUCUCUGGGCCCUCUCGGUAAUGCACGUCACUAGAAGCCUUGCAAGCAAUGUGACUAUUGAGUUAGUUGCGAGAUGAUGCAUUAUGUAACGAGUAAAUAGAAUUGCCCGUAACGAGAUUGAACUAGGUAUUGAGAUACCGACGAUCGAAUCUCGGGCAAGUAACAUACCGAUGACAAAGGGAACAACGUAUGUUGUUAUGCGGUUUGACCGAUAAAGAUCUUCGUAGAAUAUGUAGGAGCCAAUAUGAGCAUCCAGGUUCCGCUAUUGGUUAUUGACCGAGAAUAGUUCUAGGUCAUGUCUACAUAGUUCUCGAACCCGUAGGGUCCGCACGCUUAACGUUACGAUGACAGUUUUAUUAUGAGUUUAUAAGUUUUGAUGUACCGAAGUUUGUUUGGAGUCCCGGAUGUGAUCACGGACAUGACGAGGAGUCUCGAAAUGGUCGAGACAUAAAGAUUGAUAUAUUGGAAGCCUAUAUUUGGACAUCGGAAUGGUUCCAGGUGAAAUCGGGAUUUUACCGGUACACCGGGGGGUUACCAGAACCCUCCCGGGGGUUAAUGGGCCUUAGUGGGCCAUGAGGGAGAAGAGGAGGGCCGGCCAGGGCAGGCCGCGUGCCCCCUCCCCCCUAGUCCGAAUAGGACAAGGAAGGGGGGCGGCGCCCCCCUUUCCUCUUUCCCCUCCCCCUUUCCUUCUCCACCAAGGCAAGAGGGGGGAGUCCUACUCCCGGUGGGAGUAGGACUCCUCCAGGCGCACCCCUAGGGGGCCGGCCGCACCUCCCCCUCCCUCCUUUAUAUACGGGGGCAGGGGGGCACCCUAGAACACACAAGUUGAUCUUCAAGAUCGUUCCUUANNNNNNNNNNNNNNNNNNNNNNNNNNNNNNNNNNNNNNNNNNNNNNNNNNNNNNNNNNNNNNNNNNNNNNNNNNNNNNNNNNNNNNNNNNNNNNNNNNNNNNNNNNNNNNNNNNNNNNNNNNNNNNNNNNNNNNNNNNNNNNNNNNNNNNNNNNNNNNNNNNNNNNNNNNNNNNNNNNNNNNNNNNNNNNNNNNNNNNNNNNNNNNNNNNNNNNNNNNNNNNNNNNNNNNNNNNNNNNNNNNNNNNNNNNNNNNNNNNNNNNNNNNNNNNNNNNNNNNNNNNNNNNNNNNNNNNNNNNNNNNNNNNNNNNNNNNNNNNNNNNNNNNNNNNNNNNNNNNNNNNNNNNNNNNNNNNNNNNNNNNNNUUUAGGCGAAGCCCUGCGCCGGUUGAACACCAUCAUCGUCACCACGCCGUCGUGCUGACGGAACUCAUCCCCGACACUUUGCUGGAUCGGAGUCCGGGGAUCGUCAUCGAGCUGAACAUGUGCUGAACUCGGAGGUGCCGUAUGUUCGGUACUUGGAUCGGUCGGAUCGUGAAGACGUACGACUACAUCAACCGCGUUGUCAUAAUGCUUCCGCUUAUGGUCUACGAGGGUACCUGGACAAUACUCUCCCCUCUCGUUGCUAUGCAUCACCAUGAUCUUGCGUGUGCGUAGAAAUUUUUUUGAAAUUACUACGUUCCCCAACAGUGGCAUCCGAGCCUGGUUUUAUGCGUAGAUGUCAUAUGCACGAGUAUAACACAAGUGAGUUGUGGGCGAUACAAGUCAUACUGCUUACCAGCAUGUCAUACUUUGGCUCAUCGGUAUUGUGAGAUGAAGCGGCCCGGACCGACAUUACGCGUACGCUUACGUGAGACUGGUUUCACCGUUACGAGCACUCAUGCUUAAAGGUGACUGGCGGGUGUCUGUCUCUCUCACUUUAGCUGAAUCGAGUGUGGCUACGCCCGGUCCUUGCGAAGGUUAAAACAACACUAACUUGAUGAACUAUCAUUGUGGUUUUAAUGCGUAGGUAAGAACGGUUCUUGCUCAGCCCGUAGCAGCCACGUAAAAUUUGCAACAACAAAGUAGAGGACGUCUAACUUGUUUUUGCAGGGCAUGUUGUGAUGUGAUAUGAUCAAGACAUGAUGCUAUAUUUUAUUGUAUGAGAUGAUCAUGUUUUGUAACCGAAGUUAUCGACAACUGGCAGGAGCCAUAUGGUUGUCGCUUUAUUGUAUGAAAUGCAAACACCCUGUAAUUGCUUUACUUUAUCACUAUGCGGUAGCGAUAGUCGUAGAAGCAAUAGAUGGCGUAACGACAAUGAUGCUACGAUGGAGAUCAAGGUGUCGCGCCGGUGACGAUGGUGAUCACGACGGUGCUUUGAAGAUGGAGAUCACAAGAACAAGAUGAUGAUGGCCAUAUCAUAUCACUUAUAUUGAUUGCAUGUGAUGUUUAUCCUUUAUGCAUCUUAUCUUGCUUUGAUUGACGGUAGCAUUUUAAGAUGAUCUCUCACUAAAAUUAUCAAGAAGUGUUCUCCCUGAGUAUGCACCGUUGCGAAAGUUCUUCGUGCUAAGACACCACGUGAUGAUCGGGUGUGAUAGGCUCUACGUUCAAAUACAACGGGUGCAAAACAGUUGCACACGCGGAAUACUCAGGUUAAACUUGAUGAGCCUAGCAUAUAACAGAUAUGGCCUCGGAACACGGAGACCGAAAGGUCGAGCGUGAAUCAUAUAGUAGAUGUGAUCAACAUAUUGAUGUUCAUCGUUGAAACUACUCCAUCUCACGUGACGAUCGGACAUGGUGUAGUUGAUAUGGAUCACGUAAUCACUCAGAGGAUUAGAGGGAUGUCUAUCUAAGUGGGAGUUCUUAAGUGAUAUGAUUAAUUGAACUUAAAUUUAUCAUGAACUUAGUACCUGAUAGUAUUUUGCUUGUCUAUGUUUGUUGUAGAUAGAUGGCUCGUGUUGUUGUUCCGUUGAAUUUUAAUGCAUUCCUUGAGAAAGCAAAGUUGAAAGAUGAUGGUAGCAAUUACACGGACUGGGUCCGUAACCUGAGGAUUAUCCUCAUUGCUGCACAGAAGAAUUACAUCCUGGAAGCACCGCUGGGUGCCAGGCCUCCUGCCGAUGCAACUGACAACGUUAAGAACGUCUGGUAGAGCAAAGCUGAUGACUACUCGAUAGUUCAGUGUGCCAUGCUUUACGGCUUAGAACCGGGUCUUCAACGAUGUUUUGAACUUCAUGGAGCAUAUGAGAUGUUCCAGGAGUUGAAGCUAAUAUUUCAAUCAAAUGCCCGGAUUGAGAGAUAUGAAGUCUCCAAUAAGUUCUAUAGCUGCAAGAUGGAGGAGAAUAGUUCUGUCAGUGAACACAUACUCAAAAUGUCUGGGUAUAAUAAUCACUUGAUUCAACUAGGAGUUAAUCUUCCUGAUGAUAGUGUCAUUGACAGAAUUCUUCAAUCACUGCCACCAAGCUACAAGAGCUUCGUGAUGAACUAUAAUAUGCAAGGGAUGGACAAGACUAUUCCCGAGCUCUUCACAAUGCUAAAAGCCGCGGAGGUAGAAAUCAAGAAGGAGCAUCAAGUGUUGAUGGUUAACAAGACCACCAGUUUCAAGAAAAAGGGCAAAGGGAAGAAGAAGGGGAACUUCAAAAAGAACAGCAAACAAGUUGUUGCUCAAGAGAAGAAACCCAAGUCUGGACCUAAGCCUAAGACUGAAUUCUUCUACUGCAAGCAGACUGGACACUGGAAGCGGAACUACACCAAGUAUUUGGCGGAUAAGAAGGAUGGCAAAGUAAACAAAGGUAUAUGUGAUAUACAUGUUAUUGAUGUGUACCUUACUAAUGCUCGCAGUAGUACCUGGGUAUUUGAUACUGGUUCUAUUGCUAAUAUUUGCAACUCGAAAAAGGGACUACGGAUUAAGCGAAGAUUGGCUAAGGACGAGGUGACGAUGCGCAUGGGAAAUGGUUCCAAAGUCAAUGUGAUCGCGGUCGGCACGCUACCUCUACAUCUACCAUCGGGAUUAGUUUUAGACCUAAAUAAUUGUUAUUUGGUGCCAGUGUUGAGCAUGAACAUUAUAUCUGGAUCUUGUUUGAUGCGAGACGGUUAUUCAUUUAAGUCAGAGAAUAAUGGUUGUUCUAUUUAUAUGAGUAAUAUCUUUUAUGGUCAUGCACCCUUGAAGAGUGGUCUAUUUUUAUUGAAUCUCGAUAGUAGUGAUACACAUAUUCAUAGUGUUGAAACCAAAAGAUGCAGAGUUGAUAAUGAUAGUGCAACCUAUUUGUGGCACUGCCGUUUAGGUCAUAUCGGUGUAAAGCGCAUGAAGAAACUCCAUACUGAUGGGCUUUUGGAAUCACUUGAUUAUGAAUCACUUGGUACUUGCGAACCGUGCCGCAUGGGCAAGAUGACUAAAACGCUGUUCUCCGGAACUAUGGAGCGAGCAACUGAUUUGUUGGAAAUCAUACAUACUGAUGUUUGUGGUCCAAUGAAUGUUGAGGCUCACGGCGGGUAUCGUUAUUUUCUCACCUUCACAAAUGAUUUAAGCAGAUAUGGGUAUAUCUACUUAAUGAAACACAAGUCUGAAACAUUUGAAAAGUUCAAAGAAUUUCAGAGUGAAAUGGAAAAUCAUCGUAACAAGAAAAUAAAAUUUCUAUGAUUUGAUUGUGGAGGAGAAUAUUUGAGUUACGAUUUUGGUUUACAUUUGAAACAAUGCGGAAUAGUUUCGCAACUCACGCCACCCAGAACACCACAACGAAAUGGUGUGUCCGAAUGUCGUAAUCGUACUUUACUAGAUAUGGUGCGAUCUAUGAUGUCUCUUACUGAUUUACCGCUAUCGUUUUGGGGUUAUGCUUUAGAGACGGCCGCAUUCACGUUAAAUAGGGCACCAUCAAAAUCCGUUGAGACGACGCCUCAUGAACUGUGGUUUGGCAAGAAACCAAAGUUGUCGUUUCUUAAAGUUUGGGGCUGCGAUGCUUAUGUGAAGAAACUUCAACCAGAUAAGCUCGAACCCAAAUCGGAGAAAUGUGUCUUCAUAGGAUACCCAGAAGAGACUGUUGGGUACACCUUCUAUCACAGAUUUGAGGGCAAGAUUUUCGUUGCUAAAUUCGGAUCCUUUCUAGAGAAGGAGUUUCUCUCGAAAAAAGUGAGUGGGAGGAAAGUAGAACUUGAUGAGGUAAUUGUACCUGCUCCCUUAUUGGAAAGUAGUUCAUCACAAGAAUAUGUUCCUGUGACAACUACACCAAUUAGUGAGGAAGCUAAUGAUAUUGAUCAUGAAACUUCAGAUCAAGUUUCUACUGAACCUCGAAGGUCUACCAGAGUAAGAUCCGCACCAGAGUGGUAUGGUAAUCCUAUUCUGGAAGUCAUGUUACUUGACCAUGAUGAACCUACGAACUAUGAGGAAGCGAUGAUGAGCCCAGAUUCCUCAAAAUGGCUAGAGGCCAUGAAAUCUGAGAUGGGAUCCAUGUAUGAGAACAAAGUAUGGACUUUGGUUGACUUGCCCGAUGAUCGGCAAGCCAUUGAGAAUAAAUGGAUCUUUAAGAAGAAGACUGACACUGAUGGUAAUGUAACUAUCUAUAAAGCUCGACUUGUUGCGAAAGGUUUUCGACAAGUUCAAGGGGUUGACUACGAUGAGACUUUCUCACCCGUAGCGAUGCUUAAGUCUGUCCGAAUCAUGUUAGCAAUUGCUGCAUUUUAUGAUUAUGAAAUUUGGCAAUUGGAUGUCAAAACUGCAUUCUUGAAUGGAUUUCUGGAAGAAGAGUUGUAUAUGAUGCAACCAGAAGGUUUUGUUGAUCCAAAAGGUUCUAACAAAGUGUGCAAGCUCUAGCAAUCCAUUUAUGGACUGGUGCAAGCAUAUCGGAGUUGGAAUAAACGCUUUGAUAGUGUGAUCAAAGCAUAUGGUUUUAUACAGACUUUUGGAGAAGCAUGUAUUUACAAGAAAGUGAGUGGGAGCUCUGUAGCAUUUCUGAUAUUAUAUGUAGAUGACAUAUUAUUAAUUGGAAAUGAUAUAGAAUUUCUGGAUAGCAUAAAGGGAUACUUGAAUAAAAGUUUUUCUAUUAAAGACCUCGGUGAAGCUGCUUACAUAUUGGGCAUCAAGAUUUAUAGAGAUAGAUCAAGACUCUUAAUAGGACUUUCACAAAGCACAUACCUUGAUAAAGUUUUAAAAAGGUUCAAAAUGGAUCAGGCAAAGAAAGGGUUCUUGCCCGUACUACAAGGUGUGAAGUUGAGUCAGACUCAAUGCCCGACCACAGCAGAAGAUAGAGAGAAAAUGAAAGAUGUUCCCUAUGCUUCAGCCAUAGGCUCUAUCAUGUAUGCAGUGCUGUGUACCAGACCUGGCGUGUGCUUAGCAAUAAGCUUGGCAGGAAGGUACCAAAGUAAUCCAGGAGUGGAUCACUGGAAGCGGUCAAGAACAUCCUGAAAUACCUGAAAAGGACUAAGGAUAUGUUUCUCGUAUAUGGAGGUGACAAAGAGCUAGUCGUAAAUGGUUACGUCGAUGCAAGCUUUGAUACUGAUCCCGACGAUUCUAAAUCACAAACCGGAUACGUGUUUUUAUUAAACGGUGGAGCUGUAAGUUGGUGCAGUUCUAAACAAAGCGUCGUGGCGGGAUCUACAUGUGAAGCGGAGUACAUAGCUACUUCGGAAGCAGCAAAUGAAGGAGUCUGGAUGAAGGAGUUCAUUUCCGAUCUAGGUGUCAUACCUAGUGCAUCGGGACCAAUGAAGAUCUUCUGUGACAAUACUGGUGCAAUUGCCUUGGCAAAGGAAUCCAGAUUUCACAAGAGGACCAAGCACAUCAAGAGACGCUUCAAUUCCAUCCGGGACCAAGUCCAGGUGGGGGACAUAGAGAUUUGCAAGAUACAUACGGAUCUGAAUGUUGCAGACCCGUUGACUAAGCCUCUUUCACGAGCAAAACAUGAUCAGCACCAAGACUCCAUGGGUGUUAGAAUCAUUACUGUGUAAUCUAGAUUAUUGACUCUAGUGCAAGUGGGAGACUGAAGGAAAUAUGCCCUAGAGGCAAUAAUAAAGUUAUUAUUUAUUUCCUCGUAUCAUGAGAAAUGUUUAUUAUUCAUGCUAGAAUUGUAUUAACCGGAAACAUGAUACAUGUGUGAAUACAUAGACAAACAUAUAGUCACUAGUAUGCCUCUACUUGACUAGCUCAUUAAUCAAAGAUGGUUAUGUUUCCUAACCAUAGACAUGUGUUGUCAUUUGAUUAAUGGGAUCACAUCAUUAGGAGAAUGAUGUGAUUGACAUGACCCAUUCCGUUAGCCUAGCACUUGCUAUUGCUUUCUUCAUGACUUAUACAUGUUCCUGUAACUAUGAGAUUAUGCAACUCCCGUUUACCGGAGGAACACUUUGGGUGCUACCAAACGUCACAACGUAACUGGGUGAUUAUAAAGGAGUACUACAGGUGUCUCCAAAGGUACAUGUUGGGUUGGCAUAUUUCGAGAUUAGGUUUUGUCACUCCGAUUGUCGGAGAGGUAUCUCUGGGCCCUCUCGGUAAUGCACAUCACUAUAAGCCUUGCAAGCAAUGUGACUAAUGAGUUAGUUGCAAGAUGAUGCAUUACGUAACGAGUAAAUAGACUUGCCGGUAACGAGAUUGAACUAGGUAUUGAGAUACCGACGAUCGAAUCUCGGGCAAGUAACAUACCGAUGACAAAGGGAACAACGUAUGUUGUUAUGCGGUUUGACCGAUAAAGAUCUUCGUAGAAUAUGUAGGAGCCAAUAUGAGCAUCUAGGUUCCGCUAUUGGUUAUUGACCGAGAAUAGUUCUAGGUCGUGUCUACAUAGUUCUCGAACCCGUAGGGUCCGCACGCUUAACGUUACAAUGACAGUUUUAUUAUGAGUUUAUAAGUUUUGAUGUACCAAAGUUUGUUCGGAGUCCCGGAUGUGAUCACGGACAUGACGAGGAGUCUCUAAAUGCUCGAGACAUAAAUAUUGAUAUAUUGGAAGCCUAUAUUUGGACAUCGGAAUGGUUCCGGGUGAAAUCGGGAUUUUACCGGAACACCGGGGGGUUACCAGAACCCUCCCGGGGGUUAAUGGGUCUUAGUGGGCCAUGAGGGAGAAGAGGAGGGCCGGCCAGGGCAGGCCGCGCGCCCCCUUCCCCCCUAGUCCGAAUAGGACAAGGAAGGGGGCGGCGCCCCCUUUCCUCUUUCCCCUCCCCCUUUCCUUCUCCACCAAGGCAAGAGGGGGAGUCCUACUCCCGGUGGGAGUAGGACUCCUCCAGGCGCACCCCUAGGGGGCCGGCCGCACCUCCCCCUCCCUCCUUUAUAUACGGGGGCAGGGGGCACCCUAGAACACACAAGUUGAUCUUCAAGAUUGUUCCUUAGCCGUGUGCGGUGCCCCCCUCCACAAUAUUCCACCUCGGCCAUAUCGUCGCGGAGUUUAGGCGAAGCCCUGCGCUGGUAGAACAUCAUCAUCGUCACCACGCCGUCGUGCUGACGGAACUCAUCCCCGACACUUUGCUGGAUCGGAGUCCGGGGAUCGUCAUCGAGCUGAACGUGUGCUGAACUCGGAGGUGCCGUACGUUCGGUACUUGGAUCGGUCGGAUCGUGAAGACGUACGACUACAUCAACCGCGUUGUCAUAACGCUUGUGCUUACGAUCUACGAGGGUACGUGGACAAUACUCUCCCCUCUCGUUGCUAUGCAUCACCAUGAUCUUGUGUGUGCGUAGGAAAUUUUUUGGAAUUACUACGUUCCCCAACAUUAUGUUCCCGGAUUUUGCGUCCCUAACGCGGUUGGGUGAUUUAUGGGACCCCCUUGACAGUUCGCCUUGAAUAAAACUCCUCUAGCAAGGCCCAACAUGUGUUUUACCAUUUGCCUACCACCUAUUACCUUUUCCCUUGGGAGUAAUUAACCCGAGGNNNNNNNNNNNNNNNNNNNNNNNNNNNNNNNNNNNNNNNNNNNNNNNNNNNNNNNNNNNNNNNNNNNNNNNNNNNNNNNNNNNNNNNNNNNNNNNNNNNNNNNNNNNNNNNNNNNNNNNNNNNNNNNNNNNNNNNNNNNNNNNNNNNNNNNNNNNNNNNNNNNNNNNNNNNNNNNNNNNNNNNNNNNNNNNNNNNNNNNNNNNNNNNNNNNNNNNNNNNNNNNNNNNNNNNNCAGUGCUUCUCUAAGUGUUGGUCCGAACUGAGUAGACUGCGGGGCCACCUCGGGGAAACUCGAGGUCUGGUUUUACUCGUAGGAUGUCUCAUCCGGUGUUGCCCUAAGAACGAGAUAUGUGCAGCUACUAUCGGGAUUGUCGGCACAUCGGGUGGCUUUGCUGGUCUUGUUUUACCAUUGUCGAGAUGUCUUGUAACCGGGAUUCCGAGACUGAUUGGGUCUUCCUGGGAGAAGGAAUAUCCUUCAUUGAUCGCAAGAGCUUAUCAUGGGCUAAGUUGGGACACCCCUGCAAGGUAUAAACUUUCGAGAGUCGUGCCCACGGUUAUGUGGCAGAUGGGAAUUUGUUAAUAUCCGGUUGUAGAUAACUUGACACCUGAUUCGAAUUAAAACGCAUCAACCGCGUGUGUAGCCGUGAUGGUCUCUUCUCGGCGGAGUCCGGGAAGUGAACACGUUUUUGAGUUAUGUUUGACGUAAGUAGGAGUUCAGGAUCACCUCUCGAUCAUUGCUAGCUUCACGACCGUUCUGUUGCUUCUCUUCUCGCUCUUAUUUGCAUAUGUUAGCCACCAUAUAUGCUUAGUCGCUGCUGCAACCUCACCACUUUACCCCUUCCUUUCCCAUUAAGCUUUGCUAGUCUUGAUACCCAUGGUAAUGGGAUUGCUGAGUCCUCAUGGCUCACAGAUUACUACAACAAUAGUUGUAGGUACAGGUUAUGCGACGAUCAUGACGUGAGAGCGAUGUUUGCUUGGUUUGGAGUUCUUCUUCUGCUUUCAAUCAUGGGAUAGGUUUCAGGUCGGCAGCCUGGGCUAGCAGGGUCGAUGUCGUUUGAGCUUCUGCUUGUGUUUCAUCCGUAGUCGGAUGGUGCUCUUUUGUAAGAUGAUGGUGUAUUCGUGUGGCAUUGUAUGCCUUUUGUAUGUAUCCCCAUCUAUUUUGUAAUGUUGAUGUAAUGAUAUCCACCUUGCAAAAGCGUUUCAAUAUGCGGUUCUAUCCUUGGGGGACCUUCGAGUCUCUUUAGGAUAGUAUUGCAUAUUGCGCGUGACAGUCUGGUUCCUGCAGCGGCAGUGAAUGCGGGCGGCAAAGACCAACUCCUUACUCUGGUGGGAGGAGGACGGACAGAGGAGACACUGGACAAAGGGAUCUCUCUUGCUUCUUCCUGCAGCGAUGGUGAGUGCGGGCCCGCGCUGGCGACGACCAACAACGGGCCGGGCACGUCCAGCGGCGGGAGGACGGUGGACGGAGGUGUGGGAUUUUGGGGAAUUUUAGAUUCGAUUUGGAGCUCGGUGCGACUGGGAUUCCAUUUGCUGGGUGGGUGCACCAUGCAUUUUACAUGGGAUUGGGUGGUGUUCGUUGGAUAUUUUGAAUUUCUUUGGUAUUUGGAUUUUUUUAAAAGGAUAUUUUGUCGACGUGAUCACUGUUUUUUAAGACCUUGGUAACUAGCUUUGUUAAACUCAAAUAGUGCUUACAUUGUCUGCUAAAAUUUGACGAUUGUACCUGGAGAUGCAUCUAUCUAUAAAGAAGGGGUGUUUGCACGCCCCUGCUCAGUUAGGUCAUUACCAACUAGUACAUUUGAUCAUCUAUUACAAUGCUCAAUAGUAAAUUUCCCAAACUCACAUAAUAACUCUCUACGAUCAUCUAAAACUGAAGCUGACAUAGAAUGUCCCUCAUUCAGACGUAUAGCAUCGAUCACAACAGAAUUAUCUAUCCCCAUCAAGACAUUAUUGCACCUCGUGCUUUAAAGUCUCUACCUAGUAGUAAAACGGCUAUUGCUUCUGCCCGUACAUCACCAAAAUUACCCACAGUAUCAUCCAUAAUAAAUAAGGAAAAAACGCUUUCAGUUGAUUCAAUUAGUAGCAGUCCUCAUAGAAAUGACAAGUUGGCAAGUUCUCUCUUCCGGUAGAGACCGGAGAGACCCAGGUUCGAACCCAACUAGCUCUCCCCUUUUCCCUUUUAUAAAUCGUGAACACCUAUUUUUUAGCAAAGAAGGCAGGUUUUAUUCAUCUAUGGCAAUGUUUACAUGGAUUACAAAUAAGACGUGAGCAAUACCCAACCAUGUGUGUCUACCCUGGGGUAGGGUAACACCUAGCCUAGCCAUCUUAUGGGCUUCAACAUUGUAAGCUCGAGCUUCAUGAGCAAAAACACACGAACUAAACAUAGAUUCUAACUCUGUUAUUUCUUUGAUAACUCCUCCAUCCACGCCUCCAACUGCAUCACGAAUAUGGUUAAUGAACCCUUUAUAAUCUGAAGCAAUAUAAAGGUGUUGCAUACCGAGAUCAUGAGCAAGUGCUAGUGCCUCUCUGCAUGCCAUAGUUUACAAUACUGUUGGAGAAGUAAGACCUUGAACAACUAGUGUUGACGAGCCCAGGUGAUCCCCAUUGUUGUCAUCGCAAAUGGAUGCGGCUGCACCUUUGUUGUGAUCCAUAGAGAUCCUAGCAUAUACAUUAAUCUUGACACUUUCCAUCGUUGGUGGCCAAAAGGCCUUGUGUUGUCCGCGUCGCAGCCAAAAGUUUCGUCCCACCUCGCUAGCUGAGGGAGCUUGAGAGUGGUUUAUAAGCGCUGCUGUGCCCACUCUCUCGAGCUCCUCUCAACUGCAGGCUUUCGGGCCUACCUGUCACUUUGUGCUUGUGGGCCUACUGGGCCUUAAUCCUGGCUCAUGGUUGGGUUUCUAGUCGUAUUCAGGCCGUGGUGGCCCAGUAGGUGGCACUUUUUUGUUUUCUUUGUUGCUUUAUUUAUUUUAUUUUGUUUCUACUUACAACAAAAUGCUUACUGUUGCUAUUUUAUUAUUUUAUUUUAUUUUAUUUUGUUUCUACUUAUUUAUUAAAGCUUAUUUUGUUUCUACUUAUUUAUUUUACUUUGUUUCUACUUAUUUAUUUUAUUUUAUUUUUGCUUAUAAUGUUUUGAACAGAAAAUACUUUGAUACUUUUUGCCACAUCAUCAAUUUUUAACCCUUUCUGACUUUAUUUGUUAUUUUUCAUGCAUUUACUGAUUUUUUUGAGCUAUUCAUGUACAAAACGGACAAUUUCUUUUGAAGUAUCAGGGUUUCAUACGGAAACUCAUCUGUUACAAAGGGAUUUCAUUUUUUUUAUGAACUUAUUUGAACCCAGACUUUUUGUGUGUUCAAAAUGCACCAUUCAAAGCCACAUCAUCAAUUUUCAAUCCUUUUUGACUUCAUUUGUUAUUUUUCAUGCAUUUACUGAUUUUGUUGAGCUAUAAGACCCUGAAAUUCAAAAGCAUUUCAAAUGAACUCUGAAAAGGUUGAAAGUUGGCAUGGUAUCAUCAUUUCACCCACAUAGCAUAUGCAAAAAAGUUGAGAGGGUU